rnacentral:lncRNA from 1 species
GCAGAGUACAAGAAGCCCCAUUAAGGCAGCACACAUUGUUCUAAUUGUAAGUCAGAAAGGAACAAAGGAGGAGACUCAGCACAUUCACACUCCUGGCUCAAAGAGAGACAAAACGUGCUAGCCUAUGGACAAUAGAGUUAGCUUGACGGUGAGUAUGGUAAGAAUAGCAUCAAUGCUUGAUGGGAGUAGCACCUUGAUAUCUUUCAUAAUUUGUUCAACUGAGAAUAGAUUGAUAGACGAUACGAUGUGGGUUUGGCAAAGUGUGUGUCAAAAAAUGGAUGUCCCAAGAUGCUAAUGAUAUGACACACACUUUGUCGGGCUCAUUCCAUAACAUUUUCAAGAAUUUGAAUCAUCUAUAUUUCAAUUCAUCGUUCAUAUAUGUCCUUGCCAAAAAUUAAAAAGAUUCAAAAUCAUUAAAACAUUAAUUUGUAAGGAAGAAAAUACAGAUGGGCGUCACAAACCCUCCCCGCCCCCCGGUUGGUUCUUGUUCUGGCUCGAGAUGGGCUUCCUUGCCCCCUUGUAAUUAGGUUUUUUUUUUUAUUUUUCUGGAUGGCUUCGCGCCAUCCUUUUGUGCCUUUUGAGGCUUGAUUGUGAUUUCCUAUUUCUUCUGAGAGUUUAAAUGUAUUAAGUCCUUGAACGUAGGAUAUCAUGGUCUAUGUUUAGUUAUGUUUCUUGGAGUACUUGUUCUGUUUUAAUACAAUGACCUCUUUCUGAAUUAAAAAAAAAAAUUGACUUUGCCAAUUUUUCCCCAAUCAAACAUUUAACACACUUAACUGGCCUUCUACCAUAGUGAUGAAAGAAGUGUUACCUUUAUAUUACUACAUGAGUUCGAAUUCCGUUGGCUCUCUUAUUUAAUAAAUCUAUCUUUUGAUAUAUAAAAAAAUAAAAAAUAAAAAUAAAAAAACUCAAAACACAAAUGAGCUGUGCAUCAUAGUAUUAGAUAAUGUUGUAUAAUUCAACAGACAACUGUUUUUUUUUUUUUUUGUUAUGAAAAAGCAAUAGAGAAUUAGGUAAAUACGAUGUAAAACAUUUCUACUCAAGAGGCAGAUUGUCUGCCCCCUGUUUGGAUGCCCUUUUUAUUCCCUUAUAUUUUAUGCGGUCACAGUUAAUACACGUCAACAUUUUAUAUUAAUUUUUUUUAUAGAUAAUAAGAUAAAAAACAAUAAGAAUAUAUAAUAUUGACAUAGCUUACUGUUUAACCAUGACAGCACAUAUAAAAAAAGAUGGGUAGAGCAUCCAAAUAGGAAGACAGACAAUCUGCUUCUUUCUACUCAUCUUCUAAUUGUCAUGUCAUAUAAUGGCAUGUGAUAAAUGCAUGACCCACCACAUGAAUAAAUAGUCCUCAAAACACGGCACGUGGAAAUGAUUUAGCUAGUGACCACCAAGAUUAUAUUCUUCUGGCAAAAUGCGACAUGUUUAUAUUUUUCUGGCAAAACAACAUGAUAUUGAUGUGCCUUUGGCUUCUCUAUUGUUGGCUUCUCUAUUGUUGGCGUCUAGUGUAGAAUGAUUAAAAAAAAGUAAAUCUAAAGAAUAAUUUUUUUCGACGUCUUAACCUCAAUCUUCUUUUCUUACCAAUUAAUCAAGAAAAAUGCUAAGGACCUAUCUCAAAAGUAGAACUUUGGAAUUCUUUGUUGAUUCUUAUUUUUUAUAAAAUAUUUUAUUAUAUUCUUACAAGAAUUGAGAUGACAAAAAGUUCAUGAAGAGUUGUACUUUUGAAAUAAUCACUUGACAUUUCCUUUUAUACAAACAUGACUACAUGAGUUAAUUAAUAACUAAUUUAAUUUCAUGUUUUUCAUAACUAAUAAUUUUUAUGUACCCAUAUAUAUAAUGUAUUUGUUUACUAACUAGCCCAAAAAUAUGAUUGUCCCUUGAAAAAAAAGAAUUUAAUAUUUUAUUUGAUGUAUGAUGAAUGUAUUCGAACUCGUAAUCUUUUUCCAAAUCUCUUCUAACAUUUAUCAACUCACUUAAAACUCCAUCUCUACUAUAAUUGUCGAUACAAAUUUCCGCCGUCUUUAAUCUUGACGAAAAUGCACUUGCAAAACAAUCAACUUUUUUUAUCAAAGACCUAAGGCUCAUGCGCCCACGAGGUGGGGGGGGGGGUUUAGGUCAACGGAUCUUCGACGCCUAAGUUAGUUUAUCUGAGAGUAAAGUGUUUAAGGCUUUUUAGGGUUGCAAAAGCUCUCUAAGAUUGGUAGAAUAUGGGGUAUUUAUAGCGCUAGGGUAGGCCAUAUAUGGUUUAAUGGAGAAAUAUUCUCUAAAUAUUCCCAGGAUAUUUAAUAGGAUUACUUACUUGAUAGGAGUCAAUCUUCAAUUAGGAAUGUAUUAAAGAUAGGAUUUGGGUAAUUAAUCCUUAUCUUUAAUUCCUUACCAUGGGCAGUUGUGCUCAGUUGCUGAGUCAUUCAGGGAUGUGAGCUGCACGUGGGAGAAUAUGAGAAGUUUGCUCAUUUAUUGAGGACCAUUUUGUCCUUUUUGAAUUAAACAUUUAACACACUUAACUGGCCUUCUACCAUAGUGAUGAAAGAAGUGUUACCUUUAUACUACUACAUGAGUUCGAAUUCCGUUGGCUCUCUUAUUUAAUAAAUCUAUCUUUUGAUAUAUAAAAAAAUAAAAAAACUCAAAACACAAAUGAGCUGUGCAUCAUAGUAUUAGAUAAUGUUGUAUAAUUCAACAGACAACUGUUUUUUUUUUUUUUUUUUUUGUUAUGAAAAAGCAAUAGAGAAUUAGGUAAAUACGAUGUAAAACAUUUCUACUCAAGAGGCAGAUUGUCUGCCCCCUGUUUGGAUGCCCUUUUUAUUCCCUCAUAUUUUAUGCGGUCACAGUUAAUACACGUCAACAUUUUAUAUUAAUUUUUUUAUAGAUAAUAAGAUAAAAAACAAUAAGAAUAUAUAAUAUUGACAUAGCUUACUGUUUAACCAUGACCGCACAUAUAAAAAAAGAUGGGUAGAGCAUCCAAAUAGGAAGAUAGACAAUCUGCUUCUUUCUACUCAUCUUCUAAGUGUCAUGUCAUAUAAUGGCAUGUGAUAAAUGCAUGACCUGCCACAUGAAUAAAUAGUCCUCAAAACACGGCACGUGGAAAUGAUUUAGCUAGUGACCACCAAGAUUAUAUUCUUCUGGCAAAAUGCGACAUGUUUAUAUUUUUCUGGCAAAACAACAUAAUAUUGAUAUGCCUUUGGCUUCUCUAUUGUUGGCGUCUAGUGUGGAAAUGAAUUAUCACAUUCGUUUAUAGUUUCUAGAUAACUAGUAAUACCGUAUGUGCUUUUUUCUUCUUUUGUUUCAUUUUUUUUUUUUGGAUACUACCCUAUGUGCUUUUGGAGUAUUAUUAUUGGACAUUACUCUUUGAGCAGCAAGAGUUUCUUGCAUUUUAGCUUUUUUUCAUGUGUCCAUUUUAUGUGCGGUAGUUGUUAAUUUUUGCGCUACGGGUUUGAAUCAUAUAAAUCUAUAAAUAAAGUUUAAAUUGCAAUGUUUGUAUGACAUUUAAAUUAGUCUGGACUUGUAGUUUAGAAGUAAUGUUUCUAACAUGGUGUAUGAAACUUAAAUAUCCCAUAUAUAUUUUUCAUCCACUGUAUAAAAAAUGAAAAAUACAUGUGUUAAUCACUUAUACAAUACAUCCAAACGAGAAUAAGAAAAUUUCAGAAUUUGAAUAAAAAAUUAUGGGAGAGUCAAUAUGCACAUGAUUUUUGCUUGAGUACCGUGGGAUAAUAGCUUACCGUAAGCAAAAACACAAAAUAUAAAUUAUAAAUAUAAUAGAAGGAUAACUGGAAUCGCUCCAGGGGUCUCUCACCCGUACUUGACCUCUUACCAAAGAAUUUUGGCAUCUAUCCCAUCUCAGGGCUAGAAUUUUAAUCUCUGGAAGGCAAAGCUUUUCUAUUCAACUCUUCAUUGUUUGUUAAUCUGAAUUACAAGGGAUGCUUAUAAAGCCUAAAACCUAAUGACCGCGUGAAGGUAAACUUAUUAUAGUAAAGAAAUCCUAAUCCAAAAUAAAAUAGGACACUAUAUCUAAUCCUAAUUAAACUGGAAAGAAUUAUAGAGCUCGUUGGAAGUGAUUUUAAAAGCUGAAAGUUUUUUUGGUGAAAAUGAUUUUGGAACCAAUGCUUAGUAAAAAUGCAAGUAAAUUCUAAAAAAAAAACACUUAGUGUUUCCUUAAAAAAGCAUAUAACCGGUGGUUCCUAUAAUAAGCACUUCAAGUGCUUUUGAAAUCCAAAAAUAUUUUAUCUAAAAACGUUUUUAAUCAUUUUAAAAGUACUUUGAAAUCAACCUUUAAUCCUUAUAAACUAAGCAAUCAUAAAACUACCCCCUAGAUAUUAAAAUACUAAGGACUAGGGGUGAGUUUGGUACGGUUACCGUACCAAAACCUUUGUACCAAUUACCGUACCAAACUUUCGGUUUGGUAAAAUCUAUUACCAUUACCGUACCAAACUUUCGGUAUACCAAAGUUUGGUAUUGCCAAAAGUUCGGUUGGCAUGGUAUGGCAAUGGUAAUUGCCAUUUUGUUUUGGGACAAAAUCUGUUUUUGUUUUUUUUAACCCAAUUCAAGGGCAAAACUUUUUUUUUUGGUACCUUUAUCUCAUACAUUAUGGAUUAAAUUCAUCUAUUAUUCAUUAUUCACAAUUCACACACAUAAUAAUUCAAAUGAUGCAUCAAGAUUCAUCAUGAAAAUUAAGCUUACAAUCCAAAUAGAAGUCAACAAUCCAAAUAGAAAUUAAAGUUUCAAACCAAAUGAAAAUUGGAAGUAAACUUCAAAAAGGAGAAUUCAUUGAUUAGUUAUUCAAGCUUGAGAUGUCGAAGCUUUUGGAGGAGGCAUUGAAUUUGUAGAAGAUUGAGUUUGUGUCAAGCCUACAUUACAAACAAAGAAAACAUAUUAAUUAGUAGCAAGAAGAAUUAAAGUUGAAAACCAUUUAAUAACAAAUUUACUAAAAAAAUUAAAGCAUAUCUUUCUUGUUUUCUCUUCUUCCAUUUCCUUGUAAAAUUGAAGCAUAUCUUAUGUUGGUUCCUUGUGGAAGUUUACUUCAUCUGCCCUAAGCCAACCAUUAGUACGCACUAGUGCCUCCAUUAUUUUAGGAGUCAAGGAUACCCUAAAAGGGUCCACAACCCUCAUCCCUAGGCUAAAUGCAUUUUCACUAGCAACAUUAGAAGUGGGGGUUACAAAGAUAUUUUGGCUAUUUGUGAAAGAAUUAGGAACUCUUUUGUGUUUGAUUUCCACAAUUUUAAGAGACCAAUCAUCAAAGUCACCAACAACAAUGCUAAUGUGAGUAGAGUUUUAUUUUCAAAUUAUUGGAAUAUUAUAAAAUUGUGUUAUAUAAUUAUCUAUUAUAUAAUUUAUAAAUUAUAAAUUAUAUUGUAUUUUCGGUAUGGUACGGUAAUACUAUGGUAAUGAUAUCCAUUACCAAUACCAUACCAUGAAAUUUCGGUACGGUACAAUACCGUACCAUUACCGAUUGGUACAAAAAAUUUGGCACAAAAUCGGUAUGGCACGGUUGGCAAUUCGGUUGACACGGUAAUUUGGCAAAAAAAUCCACCCCUACUAAGGACUAAAGACUAAAAAGGCUAAAAUACCCUUUAAUUUAGGAAGUCACCACUCUUGUUCCACGUGACUUAGCUAUUACUAAUUUACUAUCACCAGUAAUUGAUGAAAGAUAAUAUCAAAAUAGAGAGGCAUAAUAGAGUCAGCAAAUCUAGAACCUCUCUUUUUCAUGCAAAUUUUCCUCAUCGACGAAGAAAAAUGUGCUAUAUAUUUUUUAUUCAUGUGUUUCAAAAGUGGAUGGUCUCUUCAGUAAGGUGGUGAACUUAAAGAAAUUUGAGGUUGUAUUGUAAAAUUAAUUAGUAAAUAGAGAGUGGUUCAAUUCUUUAUAAGCUCUUGUAUGAUUUGAUUUCUCACCGAUGUGAGACUUUGUCUUUACAUUCUUACACUAUUCUCGCACGUGGCAAAUUUUAAAACCUAACAUGUGGACAAUACAAAUUGGGUGACGUGAAACAUGGUUGGCCAUUGGACUUCACACGUGGGCUAAUAUGAAGAUUAGUCUAACUCUUCAUAAGCCCUUGCAUGAUUUGGUUAAUCACUGAUGUGGGACUUUGUUCUCACAUUCUCACACGCUCCAUCAUGUGUGGCGAAUAUUCAAGCCUAACAUAUGAACAAUACAUAAAAUCUCAAUUUUCUACAAAGUAUCAGAGUUGGUUGAAUCAGAUGUUUAAUUAUUCUUUCGUAGUAUGAAGUCAAUUGAACUACGUGUUUGAUAUGUAAGGAUGUAAAUGUUGAUCCACAUCAAAAAGUUAAGAGACCGUUUACGAUUUUAAUUUGUCCUGAAAGAUGCAUUUCACCAUUUGAUGUAGCUCGUAUGGGAAGCCUAACUUUUUUCUUUCUUUUUUUUUUUCUCGCAAUAUAGAUUGUUAACUUUUUCUUUUAAUUUGAGGGAUUCUCCUUGUCUUAAUGAUGUUGACAUCGGAGUGGUAUGGUUCUUGAAUCUUGACUAAGAAAACCCCUGCAUUCAUACACACAUUUUUAGUGUGCGGUCCCGCCAAUUUCAACUAUAAAAACAUCACAAUCCCCUUUCCUUCUUAAUUGCAGAGUGGAAAGGAAAACCAAUUCAGCCAUGUCUUCAUCUCCCUUACCAACUUCUACAAUGGUCGCCCUGCACUCCACCACAACCACCUUCUUCCGCUCUCAUUUAUUCCCAAACAAGUCCCAGACUCCACUGCAACGAAAACCCAAACAAUGCCUUGCGGGUAGAGUGCGCUGCAAAGCAACAAAAGGUGACAAUGAUAACCUAGAUCAGGGCCUAGCAAGACUCGACAGGAGAAACAUGCUGAUAGGUUUAGGCGCCGGGGGUCUCUACGGUAAGGUAGGAAACCCAUUUGCUUUUGCCGCACCAAUAUCCGCCCCAGACUUGACCACGUGUGUCCCUGCCAGCAAGCCAGACGGGUCCACCAUCGAUUGUUGCCCACCUACCACCACGACCAUCAUCGACUUUGAACUCCCUGACUCAGGCCCACUCCGCACUAGGCCCGCUGCCCAGGACGUUGCAAAUGACCCUGAAUACUUGGCCAAAUACAAAAAUGCCGUCGAGAUGAUGCGGGCACUUCCAGACGACGACCCGCGCAGUCACGCACAACAGGCGAUGGUACACUGCUCAUACUGCGACGGUGGAUACCCACAAGUUGGAUAUUCAGAUUUGGAGAUCCAAGUUCACUUCUGUUGGCUAUUCUUCCCGUUCCAUCGUUGGUACCUCUACUUCUAUGAGAAAAUCAUGGGCGAGCUCAUUGGGGACCAAACCUUCGCCCUCCCCUUCUGGAACUGGGACGCGCCAGCUGGCAUGUACAUUCCUGAAAUUUUCACUGAUACGACGUCAUCCCUCUACGACCAGUACAGAAAUACAGCGCAUCAGCCCCCGAAGCUCCUGGACUUGAAUUAUGGCAGGACCGACGAUGACGUCGACGACGCGACACGAAUCAAAGAGAACCUAACAACGAUGUACAAGCAGAUGGUGUCGAAUGCCACUUGUCAUAGAUUAUUCUACGGAGAGCCUUACAGCGCAGGGGACGAACCAGAUCCUGGCGCCGGAAACAUUGAGACCACUCCCCAUAACAAUAUUCACCUUUGGGUUGGCGACCCAACCCAGCCAAACGGGGAGGACAUGGGGACCUUUUACUCUGCGGCGAGGGAUCCGGUGUUUUACUCUCACCAUUCCAACGUGGACCGCAUGUGGUCUAUAUAUAAAGAUAAGUUGGGUGGUACGGACAUAGAAAAUACCGAUUGGCUGGACGCAGAGUUCUUGUUCUACGACGAGAAAAAGAAUCUCAUGCGCGUCAAUGUUCGGGACUCGCUCGACACGAAAAAACUCGGGUAUGUGUACGACGAGAAUGUCUCGAUCCCGUGGCUGGAUUCGAAGCCGACGGCUCGUAAGUCAACAAAUAAGAGAAAGGCUACGGUUUCAUCUUCUGAUCUUUCUACAACGUUCCCUGCUACACUAUCAGAUAUAAUCAGCGUCGAGGUGACGAGGCCGUCUAAGACGAAACGGACAGCUGCCCAGAAGAAGGCUCAGGAUGAGGUGCUGGUGAUUAAGGGGAUUGAGUUUGCCGGGAAUGAAACUGUGAAGUUCGACGUGUAUGUGAACGAUGACGCGGACUCGCUGGCCGGGAAAGACAAGUCGGAGUUUGCUGGGAGUUUUGUUCACGUGCCGCAUAAGCAUAAGAAGAAUAUUAAGACGAACCUGCGGCUGAGCAUUACAAGCUUGUUGGAAGAGUUGGAUGCGGAGACAGACAACAGUUUGGUAGUGACUUUGGUGCCGAAAGUUGGGAAGGGGCCAAUCACCAUCGGAGGGUUUAGCAUUGAGCUCAUUAAUACUACCUGAGUAUUAAUUAAUGUUAUUGUUGGUUCUUCUUGUUGUUGUUGGGUUGGCUUAAUCAUGUCUUUCUAGCUAAUUACUCCUGAACGUUCAUAAUGUGCUCAUCUACUGCUUAUGUGGCAGAUAAUGGUUGGUGUUCCUCGUGAAUAAAAGCACUAUUGUGUUUCAGUGUGUCUAUUUAUUGAAUAAAGAAUUUAUGGUAGAGUUUAAUCAUAAUUUUCUAGAACUAAUGAUGGUACACUACUUUAAUAUCUUCUCCUUCUUUUUUUUGUUUUGUUGUGAUUUUGAAGAAUGUACCCAUGUUUUGAUACAAUAAUUUUUUUGGAUAAUUUUGAUGAAUGUACCCAUGUUUAUAUAUAUACACACACACAAUAGUAUAUUUAUAUUUUAAUAUUUUUAAUCCCACAAAUUAUGGUUUUUUUUUUAAAUCUCAUUUAUAUAAACAACUAAAAUUUCUAAUUUUUAAUUUAAAAAAUAUAGUAACGUACAUAGAAAUAAAUUAUCACAUUAAUUUCAGAGACUUCGAUCAAAAAUUAAAAACCAACAAGGUUUUAAUAAAAGAAUAUUCAUAGUUAAGGACCAUAUCCAAAGUUUCCCUAAAAUAAUUGUACGAAAGAAUCUCUCUUUUCAUCGAGACCGGAAUUAUUGAAUUUAUGAUAGGAAAAUUCUACGCAUGCUUUGAAACACAUCAAUCAAUCCAUACUAUUAACCACAUAUUUCUUCAUCGAUGGAGAAAUUCUACGUAGCAUGCUUUUCACAAUUACAUUAUCUUUAACAUUCGUAAACAAAAAAGAGGUCUAGAUUCGCAGACUCGAUGCCUACCUAUUAUUUUUCAUCGAUUAUUGGUCAUACUACUAGUUGACUAGGAAGAUAGACUCUCCCUUACUGUUAUUAAAAUUUCAAAAUUUUCUAAUUCUCAUUUGUUUUUGUUGCAUAAGGUUUUUUUUUUUGGUUAAUUGUUGCAUAAGUAAUUUGGCAUGUAUUUUUUAACAAUGUUGGAUGAGAAAUCUAAUGGUUUAAGAAUUAUAAAUAAGAAAUUAAAAAACAUUUAGUGACAUUAAAAUAAAGUAUUUAUUUAUAAAACUAUUAAAUUCCUCUUUUCACAUUUUCCUUACUUGUUGUGUGUCUACUGUCUACAGCCCAUUCGACCUUGAACCUAACCUAAUUUAAUUGUGUAUCAAAUGGCAGGUUGGUGUUUUUUUGUAAAAUCGUAUUUGUCUAUUUUUCUUUACUAUAAAAAAAUGUCUUAAUAGUUUAGAUAUUUUUUUUUAAAAGGAAACGAUAAGAGAUUAAUUGAUUGAAAACGUCAUUACAUGGUUUGAAGUACAAGAAGCCCCAUUAAGGCAGCACACAUUGUUCUAAUAGUAAGUCAGAAAUGAACAAAGGAGGAGACUCAGCACAUUCACACUCCUGGCUCAAAGAGAGACAAAACGUGCUAGCCUAUGGACAAUAGAGUUAGCUUGACGGUGAGUAUGGUAAGAAUAGCAUCAGUGCUUGAUGGGAGUAGCACCUUGAUAUCUUUCAUAAUUUGUUCAACUGAGAAUAGAUUGAUAGACGAUACGAUGUGGGUUUGGCAAAGUGUGUGUCAAAAAAUGGAUGUCCCAAGAUGCUAACGAUAUGACACACACUUUGUAGGGCUCAUUCCAUAACAUUUUCAAGAAUUUGAAUCAUCUAUAUUUCAAUUCAUCGUUCAUAUAUGUCCUUGCCAAAAAUUAAAAAGAUCCAAAAUCAUUAAAACAUUAAUUUGUAAGGAAGAAAAUACAGAUGGGCGUCACAAAACCCCCCCCCCCCCGGUUGGUUCUUGUUCUGGCUCGAGAUGGGCUUCCUUGCCCCCUUGUAAUUAGGUUUUUUUUUUUCUUUCUAGAUGGCUUUGCGCCAUCCUUUUGUGCCUUUUGAGGCUUGAUUGUGAUUUCCUAUUUCUUCUGAGAGUUUAAAUGUAUUAAGUCCUUGAACAUAGGAUAUCAUGGUCUAUGUUUAGUUAUGUUUCUUGGAGUACUUGUUCUGUUUUAAUACAAUGACCUCUUUCUGAAUUUAAAAAAAAAAAAUUGACUUUGCCAAUUUUUCCCCAAUCAAACAUUUAACACACUUAACUGGCCUUCUACCAUAGUGAUGAAAGAAGUGUUACUUUUAUACUACUACAUGAGUUCGAAUUCCGUUGGCUCUCUUAUUUAAUAAAUCUAUCUUUUGAUAUAUAAAAAAAUAAAAAAUAAAAAUAAAAAAACUCAAAACACAAAUGAGCUGUGCAUCAUAGUAUUAGAUAAUGUUGUAUAAUUCAACAGACAACUGUUUUUUUUUUUUUGUUAUGAAAAAGCAAUAGAGAAUUAGGUAAAUACGAUGUAAAACAUUUCUACUCAAGAGGCAGAUUGUCUGCCCCCUGUUUGAAUGCCCUUUUUAUUCCCUUAUAUUUUAUGCGGUCACCGUUAAUACACGUCAACAUUUUAUAUUAAUUUUUUUUAUAGAUAAUAAGAUAAAAAACAAUAAGAAUAUAUAAUAUUGACAUAGCUUACUGUUUAACCAUGACCGCACAUAUAAAAAAAGAUGGAUAGAGCAUCCAAAUAGGAAGACAUACAAUAUGCUUCUUUCUACUCAUCUUCUAAGUGUCAUGUCAUAUAAUGGCAUGUGAUAAAUGCAUGACCCACCACAUGAAUAAAUAGUCCUCAAAACACGGCACGUGUGGAAAUGAUUUAGCUAGUGACCACCAAGAUUAUAUUCUUCUGGCAAAAUGCGACAUGUUUAUAUUUUCUGGCAAAACAACAUGAUAUUGAUGUGCCUUUGGCUUCUCUAUUGUUGGCGUCUAGUGUAGAAUGAUUAAAAAAAGUAAAUCUAAAGAAUAAUUUUUUGCGACGUCUUAACCUCAAUCUUCUUUUUUCUUACCAAUUAAUCAAGAAAAAUGCUAAGGACCUAUCUCAAAAGUAGAACUUUGGAAGUCUUUGUUGAUUCUUAUUUUUUAUAAAAUAUUUUUUUAUAUUCUUACAAGAAUUGAGAUGACAAAAAGUUCAUGAAGAGUCGUACUUUUGAAAUAAUCACUUGACAUUUCCUUUUAUACAAACAUGACUACAUGAGUUAAUUAAUAACUAAUUUAAUUUCAUGGUUUUCAUAACUAAUAAUUUUUAUGUACCCAUAUAUAUAAUGUAUUUGUUUACUAACUAGCCCAAAAAUAUGAUUGUCCCUUGAAAAAAAAAUUAAUAUUUUAUUUGAUGUAUGAUGAAUGUAUUCGAACUCGUAAUCUUUUUCCAAAUCUCUUCUAACAUUUAUCAACUCACUUAAAACUCCAUCUCUACCAUAAUUGUUGAUACAAAUUUCCGCCGUCUUUAAUCUUGACGAAAUUGCACCUGCAAAACAAUCAACUUUUUUGAUCAAAGACCUAAGGCUCAUGUGCCCACGAGGUGGGGGGGGGGGUUGGGGGGGGUUUAGGUCAACGGAUCUCCGACGCCUAAGUUAGUUUAUCUGAGAGUAAAGUGUUUAAGGCUUUUUAGGGUUGCAAAAGCUCUCUAAGAUUGGUAGAAUAUGGGGUAUUUAUAGCGCUAGGGUAGGCCAUAUAGGGUUUAAUGGAGAAAUAUUCUCUAAAUAUUCCCAAGAUAUUUAAUAGGAUUACUUACUUGAUAGGAGUCAAUCUUCAAUUAGGAAUGUAUUAAAGAUAGGAUUUGGGUAAUUAAUCCUUAUCUUUAAUUCCUUACCAUGGGCAGUUGUGCUCAGUUGCUGAGUCCUUCAGGGAUGUGAGCUGCACGUGGGAGAAUAUGAGAAGUUUGCUCAUUUAUUGAGGACCAUUUUGUCCUUUUUGAAUUAAAGUCCACGUGUCACCUCUAGAAUUUUUAGAAUUAUUUUAGGCUCCACAAUAAUAAUAUUAAAUUUUGAAACAUCACCUUAUAUUUACUUCUUGAGCAAUAAAUAGUGUGUUCUCAUGUGACCAGUACGUUAUAUUCAUACAAUGUGCAAUAUAGUCAGUAGUGAAUAGCUAUAUCCCCCGAUUCCCCCGCCCCUGCUUGAUAAAUGAAGGAUAAAUGAUCAUGGGUUUUUCAGCCUUCACCAAUAAACCGUGUCUAAUGAUUACGUAAAGCCACGAUGGGUAAUCCGUGGCAAUGACAACCAUGGGCUAUUGCCUUUUCAUUUUAUUUCACGGUGGAAGCUGCUAUAAGAAGCCCUUCGAAUUGUCGGGCUCCAACCCAUUAAACAGUGGACACACUUCAAUCUUUUUCAUGGAUAUUUGUGAAAGCUUUUGUGAAUUGUGACCAUGAAUAUGCAUGCAGUUGCUCGAACCACGUAGAGAUGUGAUUUCAUAUAUGUUUGAUUGGGCUAAAACUUCCACAGUUCUGAGUCUUUCAGUUGGAUGAUCUUUCGGGUCCUAGAGUCAAAAGUUAUUGAUUGAGCUGCGAAAAGAUACCUUUAUUUCUGAAAAAUUUAAAACUCUAAAGGCAAUUUUGAUUACUUAAUUAAGCGAAAAGGCAAAAGGACCUUUGUACGAGUACGAGGACACGUCUGGAUUGUAUAUCAAUCAACAACCAACAUUUUAUUAUUACUUUUUUACAAUCAAAAUUUGUCAUCAUUCGAUGACGUUCCUGUUUUGAUUAUUGAAUUAUCACAUUCGUUUAUAGUUUCUAGAUAACUAGUAAUACCGUAUGUGCUUUUUUCUUUUUUUUCUUUUUUUUCUUUUUUUUUGGAAACUACCCUAUGUGCUUUUGGAGUAUUAUUAUUGGACAUUACUCUUUGAGCAGCAAGAAUUUCUUGCAUUUUAGCUUUUUUUCAUGUGUCCAUUUUAUAUGCGGUAGUUGUUGAUUUUUGCGCUACGGGUUUGAAUCAUAUAAAUCUAUAAAUAAAGUUUAAAUUGCAAUGUUUGUAUGACAUUUAAAUUAGUCUGGACUUGUAGUUUAGAAGUAAUGUUUCUAACAUGGUGUAUGAAGCUUAAAUAUCCCAUAUUUUUUUUUCAUCCACUGUAUAAAAAAUGAAAAAUACAUGUGUUAAUCACUUAUACAAUACAUCCAAACGAGAAUAAGAAAAUUUCAGGGCAUCUAUCCCAUCUCAGGGCUAGAAUUUUAAUCUCUGGAAGGCAAAGCUUUUCUAUUCAACUCUUCAUUGUUUGUUAAUCUGAAUUACAAGGGAUGUUUAUAAAGCCUAAAACCUAAUGACCGCAUGAAGGUAAACUUAUUAUAGUAAAGAAAUCCUAAUCCAAAAUAAAAUAGGACACUAUAUCUAAUCCUAAUUAAACUGGAAAGAAUUAUAGAGCUCGUUGGAAGUGAUUUUAAAAGCUGAAAGUGUUUUUGGUGAAAAUGAUUUUGGAACUAAUGCUUAGUAAAAAUGCAAGUAAAUUCUAAAAAAAAACACUUAGUGUUUCCUUAAAAAAGCAUAUAACCGAUGGUUCUUAUAAUAAGCACUUCAAUUGCUUUUAAAUUUCAAAAAGAUUUUAUCUAAAAACGUUUUUAAUCAUUUUAAAAGUACUUUGAAAUCAACCUUUAAUCCUUAUAAACUAAGCAAUCAUAAAACUACCCCCUAGAUAUUAAAAUACUAAGGACUAAAGACUAAAAAGGCUAAAAUACCCUUUAAUUUAGGAAGUCACCACUCUUGUUCCACGUGACUUAGCUAUUACUAAUUUACUAUCACCAGUAAUUGAUGAAAGAUAAUAUCAAAAUAGAGAGGCAUAAUAGAGUCAGCAAAUCUAGAACCUCUCUUUUUCAUGCAAAUUUUCCUCAUCGACGAAGAAAAAUGUGCUAUAUAUUUUUUAUUCAUGUGUUUCAAAAGUGGAUGGUCUCUUCAGUAAGGUGGUGAACUUAAAGAAAUUUGAGGUUGUAUUGUAAAAUUAAUUAGUAAAUAGAGAGUGGUUCAAUUCUUUAUAAGCUCUUGUAUGAUUUGAUUUCUCACCGAUGUGAGACUUUGUCUUUACAUUCUUACACUAUUCUCGCACGUGGCAAAUUUUAAAACCUAACAUGCGGACAAUACAAAUUGGGUGACGUGGAACAUGUGUGGCCAUUGGACUUCACACGUGGGCUAAUAUGAAGAUUAGUCUAACUCUUCAUAAGCCCUUGCAUGAUUUGGUUAAUCACUGAUGUGGAACUUUGUUCUCACAUUCUCACACGCUCCAUCAUGUGUGACGAAUAUUCAAGCCUAACAUAUGAACAAUACAUAAAAUCUCAAUUUUCUACGAAGUAUCAGAGUCGGUUGAAUCAGAUGUUUAAUUAUUCUUUCGUAGUAUGAAGUCAAUUGAACUACAUGUUUGAUAUGUAAGGAUGUAAAUGUUGAUCCACAUUGAAAAGUUAAGAGACCGUUUACGAUUUUAAUUUGUCCUGAAAGAUGCAUUUCACCAUUUGAUGUAGCUCGUAUGGGAAGCCUAACUUUUUUCUUUCUCUCUUCUUUUCUCGCAAUAUAGAUUGUUAACUUUUUCUUUUAAUUUGAGGGAUUCUCCUUGUCUUAAUGAUGUUGACAUCGGAGUGGUAUGGUUCUUGAAUCUUGACUAAGAAAACCCCUGCAUUCAUACACACAUUUUUAGUGUGCGGUCCCGCCAAUUUCAACUAUAAAAACAUCACAAUCCCCUUUCCUUCUUAAUUGCAGAGUGGAAAGGAAAACCAAUUCAGCCAUGUCUUCAUCUCCCUUACCAACUUCUACAAUGGCCGCCCUGCACUCCACCACAACCACCCUCUUCCGCUCUCAUUUAUUCCCAAACAAGUCCCAGACUCCACUGCAACGAAAACCCAAACAAUGCCUCGAUCGACACGAAAAAACUCGGGUAUGUGUACGACGAGAAAAAGAAUCUCGUGCGCGUCAAGUUUCGGGACUCGCUCGACACGAAAAAACUCGGGUAUGUGUACGACAAGAAUGUCUCGAUCCCGUGGCUGGAUUCGAAGCCGACGGCUCGUAAGUCGACAAAUAAGAGAAAGGCUACGGUUUCAUCUUCUGAUCUUUCUACAACAUUCCCUGCUACACUGUCGGAUAUAAUCAGCGUCGAGGUGACGAGGCCGUCUACGACGAAACGGACAGCUGCCCAGAAGAAGGCGCAGGACGAGGUGCUGGUAAUUAAGGGGAUUGAGUUUGCUGGGAAUGAGACUGUGAAGUUCGACGUGUAUGUGAACGAUGACGCGGACUCGCUGGCCGGGAAAGACAAGUCAGAGUUUGCUGGGAGUUUUGUUCACGUGCCGCAUAAGCAUAAGAAGAAUAUUAAGACGAACCUGCGGCUGAGCAUUACAAGCUUGUUGGAAGAGUUGGAUGCGGAGACAGACAGUAGUUUGGUAGUGACUUUGGUGCCGAAAGUUGGGAAGGGGCCAAUCACCAUCGGAGGGUUUAGCAUUGAGCUCAUUAAUACUACCUGAGUAUUAAUUAAUGUUAUUGUUGGUUCUUGUUGUUGUUGCUGGGUUGGCUUAAUCAUGUUUUUCUAGCUAAUUACUCCUGAACGUUCAUGAUGUGCUCAUUUACUGCUUAUGUGGCAGAUGAUGGUUGGUGUUCCUCGUGAAUAAUAGCACUAUUGUGUUUUGGUGUGUUUAUUUAUUGAAUAAAGAAUUGAUGGUAGAGUUUAAUCAUAAUUUUCCAGAACUAAUGAUGGUACACUGCUUUAAUAUUAUUGUUAUUUGUGAUAAUGGAGGACUGACAAUUGAGUCAUAAUCUUGCGCAAAGAGAAAGAUAACGAACAUGUAAGCCAAAAAAGUGUAGGGGUAAAACAACAAUAAAGCUAAAUAUGUGGUAGUGACUAGCAUAAAAAGCUUUUUUAUUUUUUAUUUUUGGAAGAAAGGUAAAUUUUAUAACAAAGAACACUAACUUACAUAAAAAAGACCCACAUACAAAUAGAUACAAAGCAAAAAUGGACCUCCCAAGCUAACCAAAAAGGGCCCAACCAAGAGGCCCAAACCAGAAACAAACCGAAAGAAAAUUCGAGAAGUCUGCUACCACUGCUGCAACAGUGCGUCACGAUCAACCCGAUUCGGCUCCCCCAAUAGACACCUAAAACCCAACCAUGCAGCAACGCACUCAUUUUCGGUGUGAUGUAAUCGAAUCCAACGUGAUACAACCCUUACGCGGCUGCUUACUCAAUGUAACAGUAACUGGUAUAUUUCAUUACAAUAUCAACUUUUACAACAACCUUUCCUUUUACAGACUUAUUCUUUAUAUAGUCACUGCCUAGCUUAUCCUGCAAGUUAACUACCACCAACCUUCUCUAACAGACUUAAGGCUCGUUUGGAAGUACUUUAAAAAUGACAAAAAGCGUUUUUGGUACAAUUGAUUUUGGGUUUCAAAAGCAUUUUAAGUGCUUUUUGAAGAAGCACCAGAUAUGCGCUUCUUGCAAGAAGCGCAUAAAGUGAUUUUUCAUAAUCCACUUAGAUUUUUACUAAGGAUUGGUUUCAUAAACAUUUUCACUAAAAACGCUUUCAAUCAUUUAAAAAACACUACCAAACAAGCCCUUAUCCACUUAGCAACUAUAUGUUACCCUAGUUAGCCCAUCCACAUCACUGAUUCUAUAUGCUGAGUCAGCAAUUACAUAGAAUCCUAUUAUAGAGCCAAGAUAUGCUGUCUCCUCUUUUGUGUCUCUCAUUGUAGUAACUCUUUGAGAAUCAAUAAAAAAUGAUAUAUAUUGUAGCACUUAAAUGGUAACUGGUUAGUAAGUUAGAAUGACAUUAUAUUUAACGCGAAUUAUUUACCAGGAAGAGAAGCUUCUCUGUUAAUUUCUUUUUUCUUAAGCCUCUCUAACUUAAGUGGCUAAGUAUAGCCCAGUUCAAAAUUAUAACCCUCUAAGAAAUUAUUUUUUAUGAACAGUAUCAGAUCAUAUUCAUUAUUCAUAUACCAUUUCCAACCAAAACGGCUAAACAUAGCUCUUUCAAUAAUUUAUUAAUUUUAUGUUUUCUUUAAAUUUAUUAAAAAAAUAUCUUUUUCGGAUAUAAUCACGAGACACAUGUCAAGCUCAUGGAACUAAUGUAACAACUAAUACAUAUAUGUAUAUAUAAGAAAAUACAAUUUACAAGGACACAACAAAGACAAGAUCGUAUUCAUUUCUGUUCUGCCUGGAUGUGGUACUAAAUAAUUCCAAAAUCAAAACCAUACUCAUACAUACAAAGCCUAAAUUUUUACAAGAUUUCUUUGGACCGGAUUAUUUACAAAGGUCACAACAAAAGAAUAAAAUUUUUUUUUUUUUGGUAUUGCAAAAACAGUGCUAUUUACAAGGAAAUUAGGGUUUCAGUUGUGUUGGGGACCAUCAGACUCGAUUUCAUUAGCCAGUUCUUUUGUGAGCAUGUCAGCCCGAUCAUCAUGUCCACCAGCGAAUGUGUAAACCCUAAAAGCAAACUGAAAAGCCUUCCACAGCAUUUUCACACAAAUCUUUGUUUGCUUCUGAUCAGUUUUUGUUCCAGUCUUACAUGCGGCCUUUGCUUCUCUCCUUUCCUGCAUCAUUUAACAUUUCAAAGUCAAACUCUCUUUUUCAAAUCAUUGUUAUUUGUUUUUUAAAGUAGUUAAUUCUGAGUACUAACCUUUAGUGCCAUCUCCAUGCAGCUUGAGGAGACAUCCACCAUGGCUUCUUUGAACCGGAUGAGGAUAUUAAAGUCGAAAUGGAUAUUCUGGCUCUGAAACUUCUUGGCUUCGUCGUCUUUAGUUCGUUCCAUCGUGUCUAUUUUCCCUUUUAUCUGUGUAUUACCUUUUUUUAUUAGUUAUGGAAAAUGGAAAGAGACAAUUAAGUAAGUUUUUUAUAUAUAUAAGAAAUGAUAGUGAAGACAACUAAGUAAGGAGAGAUUAUAUUCACACACCCCAAAUUAUUUUUCUACACUCUUUUAAUUUUUUUAAUAUUUUCUACACACCACUAACAUUUGAUAUAAAAAUAUUAAAAAAUUAAAAGAGCGUGGGGAAAGUAAUAGUAGUAGGUUUUUUAUAUAAAAAACGAUAGUGAAGACAAUUAAGUAAGAUUGUAUAAAUGAACAUUUGUACACCUUAUCGAAGCAGCGUUCGGCCUUGUCAAGGAGCUGACCCAAUGGAACCACUAGUUUCCAGUUUUGUAGUUCAUUGAGCAUUGUAUUUAAAUUUGUGUGUAGUGCUGCUGCCAUCCUGAUUGCUUCCAACUUCUUUGUUGGGAACCCUUCAAACCGUGAGAGCACCUGCAAUUCAGAAAAUGGCGUGUCACAAAACACGAUUAUGAAGUGAUCAUAGAAUUAGAAUGGAAACGAACAAAAAUAAAGCGGACAAUUAAUGGUAUUGACCUGUGACUCAUCAGUCAAGUGUUCAAGGACGGAUUCGACUUUCUUGUGAAACUGCAUCAACUCAUUCAUGUCUUUUGUUUUGAAAGAACCAAGGGUGGUUCUCAUUUCCAUGAUAGGCUUCGCAUACUUCUGAACAUCUUCUUCAAUUUGUUGAAAGUAUGCUGAUCUGAGACACAAAAAUUAGAAACAUUAUAUGCAUGGUUUUCGCAUUAUUUUGAGUACUUAUUAGAAACAUUAUAUGCAUGGUUUUCGCAUUAUUUUGAGUACUUAGAUUUACUUAUCCAUACUAUAAGGACCUCUUUGUAAUCUCUGCUAGAGCAUCAGCCAUUCCUUGUUUUCCACCAGAGCUGCUUCCAAUUCCACCCUUUCUCCCAUUGGAUGCCUUGCCAUCCAAGCUAGAUCCUUCCACCUUUCUCUUGAGAAGGCGGUAGAGACUGCCCAUCUGAGGUGAUCUCUUCAGUUUAGUGUCUUUCUUGGGGCGCAAGGAUCUUCCUGUGCCGAGUGCGGGAGGUGGGGGUGGAGCAGCUCCAUUUGAUGGGCCUUUUAACAUGGGUGGUGGCGGUGGAGCACCUCCAUUUGAUGGCCCUUUUAACAUGGGUGGUGGGGGUGGAGGACUGCCAAUUGACGGUCCUGGUGGAGGUGGUGGUGCUGGAGCUCCAUUUGAUGAUCCUUGAGGAGGUGGGGGUAGGGGUGGAACCACUUUUGUUGACCUUGGUAUCACUGGUGUUGGUGGAGGGGUUAGAUUUACUGACACUGGCCCUGGUUCCAUUGGUUGAGGCGGUGGGGGUGGUGGCCCCCCAACUGCUGCUACAUUAUGUGGGGUUAAUGUUGGUGGUGGUGGAGGAGUUGCUGCAAUUUGUGGCUGCAUGGCGGGUAGUGAUGGUGAUGGCGGCAGUGGUGUUGCAACAUUUAGCUUCAAAGUGUGUAGUGGUGGUGGUGGAGGGAAUGUUGGUAUUCUUGUUGCUGCUUCUGUAUUGGGCAGUGAAAGUUGUUGCGUUGUUGGAGGUGGAGGCAGAGGCGCUGAUUUUGGUUGUGGAAGUGUAGGUGAGGGUGAAAGCAAUGAUACUCUGGUGUCUGCUUCCAAUGUUUCAGAGGCUGUGGUUGGAGUUUCAACAUCAUCACUUGUGUUGUCGAUACCCUUUCCACUAGACUUCUCAUUCAAACUAAGAUUUGGGGCUACUACUUCCUCAUCUGUUGCUGCAAUUGUCUUUUGAGGGGUUCUAUCUAAUUCUGUCCCAAUUGAUGGUUCUUCAAACAAAUUUUCAAUCUUUUCCAGACCAUUGUUGGUGCCAUGAGCUCCUUGUUUUGAUAAGUGAAGAGACAAGUUCUUAACAUCAAUCAUCAGAUUUAGUUUCCCAACUGCUUGCACUCUCAGAGUCCAAAGCAAUGGUGAUUUGGAACCAAUGUUGGCUCUCUUUUGUGCUCUUGGAGAACCAUCAAUCUCGGGUAGGACAGAAGAUGGAGUGAUCGGAGAAGGACAGGUGGAACCUGAGGCGUAGCUCUCUGAAUCGCUCAAGAACUUCCCAAAUGAGCUAUUCCGAGGGCUGUAAUCUUCUCUUUUCUGGUCAUCCUCAUCCAUCAUAUCAAACUUGUCCCGUGCCAUCUUCAUCAAGCAAUCAAGCGUUUCCAGCACCGUCUCAACUACAAAAUCGUAGAGAGAACCAGCCUUAACUUAAAAUUUCACAGAAGGAAAUAACAGUUAGGUUGUUGCUUCCAUUUCCAAAUGGAAGGCCUCAACUAGUCCUAGAGAAAAAUUUGUAGCAUACCGAGUUCAUCCUGAUUGACAUUCUCCUUGAGUGAUGGGAAAUCAUAUCUCGGUUUGUCCAACCUGUCAUAACUUGUCAUCCAAGACUCUCCAAUAGAUUUCAAUGCCUUGCAGAAGGAGGCCAGGACCUGAAUGCCGUUGUUUAAUUUGAAAAAUUAGCAUAAUGGUCUCGAGUAUAAUUACAUAUGCGUACUAAGCUAUUUCUUAUGGAUCUUAAAUCCUUAAUUACCUUUUUUGUUCCAAAAAAAAUAAAAUUCCUUAUUUACCUUUUCUAUAGAUGCUUCCUCUAUUUCCGAUAAUUGUUUAUGCAGCACAAUUUCAGGGAAAAGCUUCUGUAGAUCUCCCAUCAACCUCAUUACCAUCUGCAAGCAGAAAAUAAUUGGAAAAUUAAAAAAAUUGUGUUUUAAUCCAGAAAUUUAAGCACAAGAUUUCAACAGAAAAAAGAGAAAUUUUAUUAGCAAUCCAAAAAAUUCAUUUUGCACUCCAUUUUUUAAUCUUCAUUAGGGAAAAGUACUAUAACAUUUUUAGAGUUCCUAUAAAAAAUAAAAAAAGGUACACAUACCUCAGUUAUUGCAGCAGAAGCAUCACAUGCUGGUAGGUCGAUGAUGUCUCUGAAGAUAGUGAUCUUCUUCCGGAGUUCGGUCAUCCGAAUCUCGUUGGCUGAAUCUCCGCAAGACCUAUCUUUUGGCACGCCUCUCCUAGAAGCGUUCUUCUGUUUCGCAGGCAGACUCUUAGCCCCCUUGGUGUCUUUCAUUGCCUGAAAGAACAACUCUAUUCAUGUUAACUAUUUUCUAGUCUAGACCUUAUUGUGAAUCGAUUCCUUUUCAGUGAUUAUUUAAUUUAUGAACCUUAAUCAAAGAUUUAUGGCUGCAUGCAACAAACUUAAUCUAGACAAGAAACAAUGCUGCCAUGUUUCCUUUUAUAUAGAUUAUUAGCAUGCCUAGAUGUAGAUGGUUAGUUUUUAUUAGCAGCUAGAUUUAAGGAUGAUGGGUCACAUAAAUCAGACAUGUUUAAGGAAUUAAACAUGGAAACACAAAACUGUACCUUAAUUCCAGAAGGUUUACGACGAAACAAUGGACUGAAACAGCUUCCGAUAGUCAUGGCUUGAACCUACGCUGAGAUUUGUAAUAGACUUGAACUGGGCAAAAGUGAUGGUGAUGAUGAUGAAAGAAUGACGAAGAAAACGACAACGACGAAGCCAAAGACGAUGGUGGUGAUGAUAAUAUUGUUAAAUGAUCAUACAAUUGGGUGUCAACCAUUACUAGCCAGCACACCCUUAAAGCUUAAUGUGGUUUUGAAAACAACUCCAGAAUGUAAAAAUUGUAAUGUGUUCAACAACAAGAAGAGAACUGUUCAAAAAAUUCAACUUAUUUGAAAAAGAAAAUGAGAUGAAGACACAAUUACGUGCGAGACACUUAGUUUUUGUGUUAAUUAGUCUGUACAAGAAACUGGAAAAUCCAUUUCUUUUCUUUCAGCCUUUGAACUUUCUCUGAAAAGAGAAGCCAAGGAAAGACAAAAGGGCAAAUUCCCUUCUAUUAAGGAAGAUCUUCCAGUAGGCUGAAGCUGUAUCAGACCUAAAGUUUCCUCUUUUUUCUUUUUCCAUUUUUCUAUUUUAUUUUUAAUUAGGCGUUUUACUUAAUUAAUUAAUGAAUUACCUGUUUAGUUAUCUAAAUCGUGCAUGCAAUGAUUGCAGGAACUGGUCCUAGAUUUUUAUUGCUUGCAGCUAUUUAUAGAAUGAUACAGCUUCUCACUUGUGUAAGAUGAGGUUAUGGUUGCAAUACCGUUGUACCAGAAAAUUUUAAAUUUUCAAAUUUUAUCUUCUGUGUCGAUUAUCCAUUUAAACAAACUUGAUACCAUAAUAAACAAAUUGCAUUCUAAUCAAAAGUUUUGUUUGAAAAAGUCCAUAUUAUAAUAGUAACCCUACAUGAUUGAUGUUAAUGUCAUACCUAAAACUUUUUUCUAAUUUUACAGGAUGUAAAAAUAUAUAUUUUUCGUUUAACUUUUCUAAGAGAGGUUUUUAAUUAAAAUAUUAUCUGAAAUAUCCAACACAUCUUACUAGGUCAAAAUAAAAAUAGAUAAAAGUCAAAUAAAUAGUAGCUAAGGUCUUGAUUACCUAUCACCUCCUGCAAAAUAGCUUGCUUAAAUGUAAAAUCUAAAAGUCUUGCUUACAUACAAAAGUUACUCCGUGACAGACAAAUACUACAAAAAGAUCACCCAAAAAACAUGGUGUUAUUAGUCAACGUUCAUACCUAAUACCCCAUUUGACGAUUAGAAAGUUGGAACCUGGACAAUUUCUAUCCGCUUCUUUUCACCAAAUUUGGGCAAUGAAGCCUUCAUAUACUAGGUCGUUUGCCUUGGUCAAACUGAGAGUCCCUGGUAGCCUGGGCAAUGAAGCCUUCAUAUACUAGGUCGUUUGCCUUGGUCAAACUGAUAGUCCCUGGUAGCCUUUGCAAAGGAAGAUGAUAUUGUAAUUUCACCAUAUAUAAAGAGGGCCAAGUUUGUUCGUGUAGUUUGUAUAGAGUGUAGCUAUAAACACUUCAACCUAUUUGGUGAAAAAUCCAAGUGCGACCUUGGACUGCAUGGACAAGGGAAAUUCUAAAGUCCAAUUAGGGUUAUAUUUUCUUUGAGUUACGUAAUUAGGAAGACACUCACGUAGAAAUACUUGAAUUUAGAUGGCAACAACAUUCAAUAUAUGGAGAAGAAUAUAUAGACAUUGUGCAUCAGCCUAUCGUAUGCCACAUUUUUAAUAGUUCAAAACAACUCAUAUAUUCCAAAUUGCCAAACUCAGCAUCCAUUAAAUAGAGAAGCAAAAAGUAGAGGCGUCAUGCCUAAGGUGUAUCUGUAUGAAAAUAUAUAGCUGGGGCUAUUAUACAAACAGAUUAUAACUAUGAACAAAUAUAUAUUGCAGUUUGAAGAACUCAUGGGCUCAACUGCUUUGUAUCCAUUUACAGAUUCAGAGUUCUCUUGGUAGGUUGAAGUUUACUCUUGUCACUCUUAAUGGGGGAGCCCUUUUCUGUUUUGCCUUCUAAUGAAGCUCUUUUGGGUGCUAUCGGAGAAAAGCCAGCCGCUGCAGUUUUCUCAGCAAUUCGCUUUUGGCGUUCUAUCCGCAUUUCCUCCAUCUUUUGCCGAAUUUCUUCUUCCUGUAUACAAGCACAUUCCCAUCAGAUUUCAUAAAAAACAAAUCAAAAGUAUGAAGAAAAUAGACAAUGAGAGGUAGCCAAAUAAACACUACAUAAAUACUCAUUAUUUACCUUCUCGAAUUUGCUCUUUUGUAUUAUAGGCCCUCUUGCAGGAAAUACUUUCUUGCUUUUGAUAUCAGGUCUGUUGUUAACUAGGGAUCUCCGUACGAUGCUAGACUUUGCUUCUUUACCGCGUUCUUUUGCUCCAGGAACUUUAUUGCUCUUCACAUUGGUGUCCACACCAUUCGAAGCAGGCUUCUUAUCCACGCCAUCAGCUGUCUCAACACCAGAAGAUCUUCUAUUUGCCUCAGUAAAUGAAAUGUCUGCUCCAUAGUCUAUAGUCCAAGAAAUUUCAGCAGACUCCAAGUUGGAAUCCCUUUCAAGAAUCAUGCAAAGGUCAUCUGGCUCAGAUGUUCGAGUCUGUGGAAUAUCUAUAACUCCAUUUUCCUUCUGGGCAGCUAAACUCAGAUCGUUAACCAUGCUUAUUUCUGUUUUCCAUGGAGAUUCAUACAUAUCAUCAACUGCUGAUCGAGACUGUAUAAAGAAAGAAUCAUCUACGCACAUAUUGCUUUUUCUCUCCAAUGCAAAGAUGCAAUCACCAUUAAAAACUGUUUGCUUCAUUGGUACUUUCUGGUCUUCUGUACUUUCUGAAUGAUUGACGACAAACCAAUCUUCUCCCCUCGAACCCCUGGUUACAGUAGACUCAGCAGCAGAAGCAGAAAACGCAGACCUAUUUUCAGUUUCUGAUGUUACCGAUCUCUGUAAAAGUAAUAUGUCCUCAGCUGCACAAUCUUUUCUCUCCAUAACUGAACUGAAAUUUUCUUCAUUCCGAAAAUCUUCCAAUUUAACUCCAUGGUCAUUUGUUCCAUUCCUCUCCAUCGCAACCAAAGGAUCAGCUGCAGCUGAAACUGUUAGUUUAUUUGGAGUUCUCUCGAAAUUGAGCCCCAAAGUAGGCCUUUCUGCUAAUGAAUUACCACCUUCAGACCUCGCUAUAAAAUGUCCAUCUUGAACAUCAAUGGCGACUACAGCCUGAACAGUCAAAUCCUCACUACUUGAUCCAUUAAACAUAGAGUGACUCUUCUCUACGCCUCUUUCUUGUGAGUGUGACUCAUGGGAUAUCUCCAAUACUUCUGCUUUCUCAGUCUUCUCAUCCGAAAAAGAUUCAUCAGAAACUCCGUCUUUAUUCCCAUCCCUCCUCUUGGGUGUGAUGUAGUUGAUGUUUUCAAUGACCACUUUCCGCGAGGAUUUCUUCUUAAACUUCUUUUUGGAUGAAUUCUCCAUAUCAGAAUGCUUUCUCUCUUGAAGUGUCUCUGAAUCAGAAUCAGUCGCAGAAGUGGAGUCACUGGACUCAGUUUGGUUGCCUUCCCCUGAGUAUUUAGUUUGUGUUUUAUUCUUCUUCUUUCUUCUUGAAGAUGACUUUUGAGUCCUAUGAUAAUUCAGUUCCCGACCACAGUUUGCUUCAUCCAUGCUGGGAGGCCAUUGCAUGUUCCUUGGAUAAUGAGGAGGAAAAGACUGCAUAGUAGGGAAAGGAUAUCCAUGAUACGGAGGCAAUUGGUUUGAAUGGCCUAGUGAACCAUAAAAGUACUGAGGAUUCUGAUUCGGCAUAACAUUUUGAUUAGUGACCUCUGGCUCAUUUGUAAGUGUAAUUUCAGACGCUCCUGUGAAUUGCAGAUCUGAUGAUGAACAGGCCACUACUGCUGCUACUUCUUGUAUCCAUAAACCAUCUGUGUGCUUUUGCUUGUAUAAUUCCUUGAAGUUAAUGCAUGCUUCCCUACAAAUAACCAGUACUUGAUCUUAAGAGACUCCAGCAAGCUCAACAUUACGGCAAAAUAAAAUGAACUACAUCUAAUUCUCCAAAAUGACGUGAAAAGUAAUGAAAUCAACAUUACUGGUUAUGAGUUCAUACCUUAAGCGUGAAGCUCCAAAUGCAUCUGAAAAAGAAAUGACAUCAUCCAUAUUGUAGAUCUCAAAACCAGCAACAAGGCCACGCGCAUAAGCCAUUGCUUGCUGUUUCCGAAGCAAUGCCACUCGAGUUUCCAGAAGGCGUCGAAGGUAAACCCUGUCAUAUUACAAUAAACUGAAUGAAUUAAUGAUAAAGAUACUGACUGACACUGCAAGUGAGACUAUUUCAUUCACAAUUGUAGCCAUCCAAAAGAAUAGUUACUUGGAGUUUUCAUUUUCUACAUCCCCUGCUUCUUCAAGUUCACCUCUUUUCUGAAAAGAAAAAAUAUAUAUAUUAGCUUAAGUAAUGAUAUAUAAUUCUUCAAAAAUGCCUCACUUAUGUUACAACUUGUGAAUGUAUAUGUAAAAUACCUUCAAAGAACCAGUUGACUUCCUUGUACUCUGAUUAGCAGAGACAACUCCUGAUAAACCAGGAAUCAAAUUACAAAACAAGUCCUCAUUCGAUCUAAAUCGAAGAACAUUCUUUCCAUGAUGUAAGGAAAUUAUAGAGAAAAACAACGGUUUUUAAUGCAGGAAAACAAGCAAGAUGAUUAAUCCCGAGAGUUGAAUUUUCUCUCAUAUUACUCACAUUGUCUCAGCAACCACACAAAGUAGACUAGAACAGAAACAAUACAUUCAACACAAAACAACAGAACUUAACCAAUACAGCAUCAGAAAGAUUGAUCUUUAAAUCGGAAAACUAACAAUUGAAAAAUGAAAAAUUCAAAAGAUUUUGAUGAGAUACCUUCCUCCAGUUGAACUGAACUCUCAAUCUGCAAAAUCUCCUUUUCAAUACUGACAAACCUCUCCAGAACUGCUGGGGUGCUAACAAACCGCACAAAUCUGCCCCAAAAUACAAAAUUAAAGAGAAACAAUUAAAAAAAAAUUAUCCAAAUUAGCAAAUUACCAAUUGCAUAAUUGGCAAAUGUCACAGAUUUGAGAAAUACCUUUGAAAUGUGGAUUUGGUGAACCAGGGUGCCAUUUGGGUGGGUGGGCGAAGAGUAAUGGAAUACCCAGCUCUGGAAAUCUCAUCUUUUACAUAUUUGAGGUGCGAAACAAAAGGUUGGAACAACCCAGAUGCUAGUUUUUCAGAUUUGCCUCCAUAGAAGAUCACCAAGUCACAUCUUCACUCAUUUAAUUUAGAAGCAAAAUUAGAAAGAAAUUCGAGAUUAAGCACUAAGCAGAGUUGAACUACAAGUUAGGCAUAGUGGACAGAGAGAAUGAUUUCCACACGACCUUGUUGGAUUGAAUAAAUCAAAGGAGAAUCUAGGAACAUAAAAAAAAAAGGGAAAUAAAAAGGGUGUACCGAAGGAGAAAAGGGUUGUGCGGAGAUCAUUUUCCAAGUACCUGGUUCGAGUUGGAGUUAGCUGAAACAAAGCGUAGUCGAGGCGAGCUUCCAUGGCGGAAAAUGGAAGAAGAGAGAGACUACAGCUGCAAGUGCAAGAGCAUAGCUUCAGUGUGUAUAUUGCAAACGGUAGAACGUCAUAAUGUUUGAAUGUGAUGUUGAACGUGCAUGUCACAUUCCCACAGUUGUUCCAAGUUUAAAUGGAAGAGACAGAGAAAGAGCAAACAGUCCAGAGACAGCUAGAAGUGACGAAGCUUUACACAUGCCAAUCAUGAAGGCGGGCGGGAUUAUAGAAUCAUAAAUACUAUUUUGAGAUAUUCAUCAUGUGGUACAGCUUCAUAUCAAAAUAUCUUAACUUUCAAGUAGACGGAUCAUGGAUCUAUUCUAAUAAUAUCGAUAUUGUCUAUACUUGACCAUCUGCUUAAUUCGUCAAGUGUGAGGUUUUAAUACAAAAAGCCUCGGUAAUAGUUAGACUGGGUAAUUCUAUUUAAAAGGCUUGUUCUCAAGCUUUUUGGCCGAUGUGGGACAAAUAAAUUCUAACAAAAUACAUUAGAAUCCAAUAACCUGCUAUUACAUAAUGACUUACAUAAAAUGAGUUUACGGCUACGUAGUCUAAUAAUGUUGUAUAGAAAAACUUACACAUGAUUGUGAACGUAUCCAUAAUAGAGGUAUAUAUGUUUGCCGUAACAUCUUCAAAAUGUUUUUGUAAAACUUUGUAAAACCAAUUAAAACCCCUAAGUUACUGGCUCACAAUUUUUUUUAAAUACAAUUCUAGAAUUUUCACAAGAUCUUUUCCGUGACUAAUAAAGAAAGAGAAUUGUUAUUAACACUUCAAAAAUCUCAUUCUACAUUCCGAAUUUUCUAUAUUAAGAAAGAAAAAUACAUUGUGAGGAGUGUAGAAUAUAAUUUUUAAACCGCAAAUAACACUUCCCAUAAAGAAAAUGUCAUAAACUGUUUGCUUGCAUUGCUAAACUAGUGUGUGUUGGGUUUCCAGGAAUUGAUCGUGUAGACAGUGGGAGAUAUUCAAGGGAAUUAAUAUAUCUGUGGAAGGAAAAUAAGUAGUAUAUACUUAAUUUGAAAUGUAUUUCUUUUCCUUCCCCAUUCUUUUCCGUGAGCAAGUACUGAACAAGACUAUUGGUUCAUCAAUUAGAAUUAUUUUUUAAAAAGGAAAGUUAUUGGUAAAGAGGAAAUUAGACCACUCCACCAAUUGCCGUAUUUGGUUUAAGCACAUGACUGAAUUCCAAAGAUCUCUGAAUUUGGUCUCAACUCUACCACCCCUCUUAAACUGCCUUUGAAUGAAGAAAAAGAGCAUAAAGUAAAAGGGUUCAGGAUGUGCGUAUUUGUAUUUAGUUGGUUGGUUAGAACAGUGUGCUCUUUAUUCUAAACUCAAAUUCGAAUUAAUCCGAUCCCCCCCUAAGUUCCAUGAACUUAGUGUAAAUCUUAUUCUUCGUUAAAAGGAUUUAGAAUUUAACCUGCUGGGAGACACCAACCCAACUGUAUAAAAUGCAUUUGUAAUUUCUCAAGGCUGGUGCUGCAUUCAAAGCUCAUAUUGAUGAACUUUUAAUUUCAAGUUUCAUCGGAAGCCAAUUUCAAAUAACACAUCUAUUAUUGAGUAAUUGACAUAUAGAGCACGAGGAGUUUACUAAGUAAUUAUAUGAUAAUUGAUCUAACCUUAAUUAGUUUCCAAAAGAUUCCAGAAUAAUAUCCAGCUGUUCCCAACCGUUACAUGCAUAAAAAAUUUCCUUCCUACCUGUAGUCAAUGUCCCAGGAGCUUCAUUUGCUUUAAAUUCAUGUUAAUUUAUUGCAUGAGUGGAACCCUUAGAAUUACUUUUAAGGCUUUUUAGUUAAAAUCUUUGAAAUUGUUAUUCUUUACUUUAGUCUGUGACAAUGAAAAUCGAUAUAAAUGAUGUUUGAGUUUGUUUAUCAUAAAUUAUUUUGGUCAUUUUAUGAAAAAUUAUCAAUAUACUCGUUAAGUGAAGGGGUUUGUUUAACAAAAAUACCCUUAAAAAUAUGGUCACAUGGUCAUUCAUGUGACAAUUUAAAGAUUUUCAUGAAAUGACUAAAAUAAUUUACGAUAGACAAAAUCAAAGACCAUUUUAACUGAAAAAAAAAAGAAAAAAAAAGCCUACUUUUAAAGACUUAAACAUCUUAAAAUUUCGUUUUUAUGGAGGAGCAAGUUAUAUAUUCACAUUGGCUGUGUGCGGCUUUAUAAGUUUAGUUUGUGGACGAACUUUUAAUUUUCAUAAAGCGCCAACAAGCUGCUUUACAAGAAAGAAGAAUUUAUCGUCUAAAAGUAUGAGAUAUAUAAUAAUGUGGUGCAUGCUAUAUAUGCAUGAAUUUAAGGCCAUUUUAUUCCUUUUUUUUUUUUUUUUUUGGACAAUGAGUACAGGACACAUGGGUUCCUCAUUCUUUGAAUUUCAAACACGUUCCAUUUUAUUAUAAUUAUACUUAUGUUGCUUACCAAAUUAAUAAUAUUUUAUUGUAAUAGAGACAACUCUAUAACAAACUCACUGUUUCAUAUAUUUUAUAGUUUAGAAAAGUGGGUAUCUCUCAUGAGCCACAUCAGCACAUUAAUAGAAGAUUAUACAAAAUUAUAACGGAAGAACGAGAUUGAUUUGCGGCAUCGAUAUUCAAGGACGACAUUUAUCUAUUUUCUAUUUUAGAAACCAUUUUGAUGGAGUGAGUCAAUUUUAAGGACCAUUUCUGAUAAAAACUCUAUGUACUAUUAGGUAACAAGCUAUUGUUACUUUCUCUCUAAUCUUAUUUCCAUUAAAUCUUGAGUUUCUUAAACUCGUUAGAGUUUCAAAAGUUUGUAAGGGGUCCAUGUGUGAGAGUGAAAAGAGAUUAUCUUAGAAAAACAAAAAAGAAAACACACUAAGAGAUUAUCUUAGUGAAAAAGAUUAACCCUAAUUCUAACCAUUAAUUUUGGCACUUGAUUUUCCUAAAAACAAAAAUAUUCCAUGGUUUUAUAUGUAUUGGCAAAAUUUUAAUGUUUAUACAAAAACGUCGAGUGACCCAGUAAACAGCACAUAAAAUAUUUAAUGACGUGUUUGAAGGUGUAUACUGUUCUAUUAAGCCUAGAUAGUCAAGAUUUUCAAGGCUCGCCUUCGUGCUUACUCCUAUUUUCUGCGUCUUCUCAAAAUAACUACCAGGUAUUUUCUCAAGUCCAAUAUUAAAACUUGGACCGCAAAAAUCAAAAUGAAACCCUCUCCGAACCUAUAUAAAUAAGCUACGCCCUGUCGGUCCAUAUAGCUCUCUCACACCCACAAACAAAAUCAUAACCCUUAGGAAUUUACAACAAAAACCACAACCCUUAGCCGAAACGAAAAGUACAUAAAAACCAUAUCUCAUAUCUCAUCAUUUUUUUGGUUAGCUUCUUCAAGGAGCCAUGCAGCGUUCGCCAGCUUUGGUUCGCAAUUUCCUCCGCCAGGGAAGCAACCAAUUUCUAACCGUUAAAUCACGCCCGCCAUGUGACGUGUUCAUUAACCACCGUGGGAUCGACACCAAGAGAACCGUGGCCGGGUUGCUCUUUUACCAUUUCUCAAGGCUCAACUUGCAUCCUUUCUUGGACAGCAAGAACAUGAAACCUGGGGAUAAGUUGUUCGACAAAAUUGACGGGGCGAUCCACAAAUGUAAGGUGGGGGUUGCCGUGUUUUCACCUCAUUAUUGCGAAUCUUACUUUUGUCUCCAUGAGUUGGCUCUGCUCAUGGAAUCUAAGAAGAGGGUGAUACCAGUUUUCUGCAAUGUAAAGCCGUCUCAUCUUAGGGUCAGGGACAAUGGAACUUGCUCCGCAGUUGAGCUACAAAGGUUCAGUUGGGCACUUGAAGAAGCUAAGUACACGGUUGGACUCACUUUCGACUCCUCUAAAGGGUACGUAUAUCUUAUAUAUCAUAAUUAAGGAAUAAUUAGAUUACCAUUUUUCUUAAAUAAGAUCAUAUAAUUAAGUUAUAAAAUAUAUAUAGUACUAACUAAGUGCUUGGAAAGUGCCUAUAUGUGCGUGCUUGCAUGGGUUUCAUCUCUAUACCUAGUUUUUUUAUCGAAAGAUGUACUAGGUUUAUUUGAUCAAACACUAAGAUCGAUUUUUGCUAACUUCGUGAUGUUUUGGGUGUUUUAGGGAUUGGUCGGAGUUCCUAAGAGAAGCUUCUGAUGCAGUGCUGCAGAACUUGGUGGAAGUGGAAGAAGGAGUAUACCGACCGUAAAUACCAUGUGCAGGAUCAAUGUUAAUAUGACACACACAAUCACUUGAUUACUUGACAAUUUCACAAGAAAAAUAUAAUACUUUACAAUUAUAAAAUACACACACAUUUAUUUAUUUGUUUUUUUUAUUACAAAUUUAUUGAUUCUUUUGUAUAGGAGAUCAUCAAUAAAGAAUAUCUUCUAAGUUUCUAACACUGUAGAUUUGUCCUUCGUUGGUUAUGAUACAAUAAAUGGUAAACAUCUUUAUCCAUGUAUUAUAAUCUAAGAUGUACUGUAAUUGUAACAAAUUCAUACUUCUUUAAAAAAAAUGCGAAGUUCAAUUCAUUGUAUCCUAAUUGUUAAUUUCCUUUUCAUUUUGCUACAUUGAUCCAAUCCUCUCUUGUCUACAUGUUUGAGAGAGGAAAAGAAGAUAAAGAAACAAAAUAUAGUAACAUUGUAAAUCAAUUGAUAGAAAUGGGAGUUUUUUAGACAAUGUAACAUCGUAAAUGGAUUGAUAGAAACAGGAGUUUUGUAGACAAUGUGCGCAAACAAAUUGGAAUCAAAUAUAUAGUAAAAUUGGUUAUGAUCAGCAUAGCAAACGUUUCAUCCAAAGAAAUCUUGAUGGGAGAUGACAUAAAAAGGACCGAGAUCAGACUGCAUAUUAAACGUUAUAGAAGUACUGCAACCGAGACUGAGAUGCAUUGUCGUGAAAUGACAUUUUACAUGAGAUUUUGGUUAUGGGACUGUUUAUUUAAAAAUAAGCCAUCAUGCACUCAUGUUUUGUUGAACACAUGCAUGAAAGAGAAAUUCAGUCAUUACGAGCUCGUCCUUUAUAGAAAAAGUAUAAGAGAUACGGUAGAGUACAUGAUGAACAUUCUGAAGUGUGUCAAUAGCAGCUCUCUAGGUUUGUUUGAUAUUAAUUCUUCAUUCUUGCAUUUUUUUUUUAGAAAACCUCGACGAUACGAGGGAUACUUUUUUGGAUAAUGAAAAAAGAAGUUACAUCUGGUCAAGAGAAAUAUAAACCUUAUUCCUCAUAAUAAAUACCAAGAAAAGGAGAAAAAUCAUUCUUGCAAAUUGACUAUGUUAUUUUUGGCUUGCAAAUAAUAUAAAUUAUUUGAUGAUGUUAGAGAGACCUUUUACUUAAACCAUAUUUUGUAUGUCACAUGAUAUGGCAUUUGAUGAAUGGAUUUGUUGUCUAAAUCACUAAACAAGGUAUAGCAACCAUAGAGAAUUUUUUCAGUGUGCUAGAAUCAUGAUCAAGUACACCAAGUGUCAGAAUAUAAUUUGUUAUUGGAAUCUUUUUUCAAGUUUCCCACAAAUUAUAUCAUGACACUUGGUGUUCAGGCAAUAUGGCACACUGAAAAAUCUCUCCUAACUAUCAAUCGCCACAUUAUGUGAUUUACAAAUUAUGAUCUAAAGACAUUAUGUGAUUUCCAACAACCUUUUUUUGUUCCCAACUAGCUAGUUAAGAAAUGAGUGAUGAGAAAUGUUAAAAGGAGAUUAUCAAAAGUGAGACUUUUUAUGCUCUUGAUUACCUUAUGUUUUUUACAGCAUAUUUUAUAAUAUUAGCACAUAAAUUAACGUGGAAUUGUAAGAUGACAGUGUCCAUGAAUAGUCUCACUUUAAAAGAGUCUCCUUAUUUCAUGCGUGAUUAAUAGUCAUGUAGAUCCAAACUUUAAUGAGUAAUGCUACACUUACCACCUAGUUGUACCAUCAUUUGUCUAAUAGAGAUAGGGUCUGCCUACGCAUAUGAGUUUCACCUCUAUUAGAGAGAUGAUGCAAAUGAUGAUACAACUAGGUGAUAAGAAUAGCAUUUUUGGACUCUAACAUGCGUAUAAAAAUGUGGGAUGGUAGUCUUUUCAAUAACAAUUUACUUCAGUAUACUCAACCAAAGGUCCAAAACGUGUGAAAAUUCUCUGAAAACGGCAAGAAAACACAAAGAAAGUCAAGUAACUCAAAUCUUCAACACCAUGUAGGCAAUGAAUUUUAAUUUUAUAAACAGUUUGAUUUUUAAAAUAUUUCUCGCUAAAUUAAGGACUAUCAACGGAAGCAAGACUAAUCAAACAAUUAUAUACAUACAUAUAUAUAUAUAUAUAUAUAUAUAUAUUACGAUUGCUUUUAGUCAGUUAAACUUAUUGGACAAAGUCGCAAUGGAUAUAUUUUAGAGAACUUUAACGAAAAGCACUCGGUACUGUUCACUUUAACGAAAAACCACAUUUUAAUACUAAAAAGUCAAUCAUGUUACUAUUCACUUUACCCUUUAUUUUGUUCUUAUCAUCAAAACUCAAAGUUUUCAAGCCCUUUUCAUUAGUUUUCCUUAUAUUUUAGGGGUAGCAAUAACAUUUUAACAUUAUUAAAUUGAAAGACAAAAGUUGGGCAGAUCAGAUGUCAACCAAACUAGGAUACGGAAGAAGUAGCACAGAAUUUAUACUGUGAUUACCACGUAGCUAUCAGUGGCCAGCGGAGCAGUAUACCUAACAAGCAAAAGAAACCCAGAAGCGCCGCCCGCCGCCCAGCAGAGCAGUAAGUACCGGAGAAAUUAAGAAAAAUAUAUAAAUGUGUUGUUUGGAAAAAUUGACCUAUUUGAAUUGACUGCACCAGAAUUUCAUCCUCUUCAACUCUAACCACCAGUCAGUCACCAUACAUUUCCAACCAAAAGAAACUUCUCAACAAAUUUUUUUAGGAUGUGAUAUCCAUACACUCUAUUUUGCUUUUCACACAUUCUUGAUAAUUUCUGUCUGUUGAUCUUCUUCAAUUCAUCCUAUUUUUUAGCAGUCGGAUCGGAUGAAUUGAAGAAGAUCAACAAAUAGAAAUUAUCAAGGAUAUAUAAAAAGUAAAAUGAGGUAUGUGGAUGUCUUAUACAUAACAUCUACAAAUUAUUUUUUUAAAGCACGUUGUAUUGUAUUUCUGUGGAAAUUUCAUUUUGCUUUAGACAAAGAGAAAUUAUAUAUAUACUAAAAGGAAAAACGCCUAAAUCACUAUUCAUAUUACAGUGAAUUUCCGAUUUUGUCCUCGCCCAUUUUUCUUUUAUUGCAACUUUGCCCCUUUUGCUUGCUGUCAAACGGAGAACAUUUGCUUUGCUGUCAAACGGAGAACAAAAUGGGACGCGUGGGUUUUCCCAGCUUCUUCCCUCUGUCUCUUCGACUCAUUGUUCAUCCUUUCCACCGCUUCAAUCUUGCUCUCACAGUUUCAUUCCCUUUUAAAUUUUUUUCUCUCACGGUUUCGUUGCUUCCUUUCCACCGCUUCAAUCUUCCUUCAACUGGCUGCAGCCUCCUCUAUCAAACCCUAUAAAUCGUUUUGCUGUUUUUGGGCACCCUCCUUUUUAUCCCUGCUCCUUGCUUUCCCCAACCUAGAAUCCUCCUCCUUUCCCCGAAAGAGAAAUCUUAAAUCCACAACCCAAAACUCAGUCAUAGUUGCCCAACGAAGGUAGAUUAAUUGAAGAAAGAUUGCUCCAUCAUAGCGGGCAAGAUGGCUGGAUAAGUCACGUGCUUCCUGUCUUUUUUCUUCUUUUCUGGACCCUUCUGCUUCGUUUUCUUCAGAACCCUCACUCAGCUUCCCCAUCUCUCUUCGAUCUCCGCUUCGCGCUCUUCAAUCUUUGCUUCGUCAUCUCUUCCUCCGUGCUUUCUCCGUGAUUUCUUCACCAGCAACUUUGCUCCAGAUCUUUCCAAUUGAAAAAACCCAGAUCAUCAUCAUCUAUUCCUCAUCACCACAGGUACCUUCUACACCUAUUACAUGUCAAAAUCUGCUUCGUGGUCUUCUGUGAGUUCUUCGCCCGAUUUGGGUGGUAAUUUAGUGUUUUGCAUAUCAUGUUUUAAAAAUAGGUUUUGUUUGAAUUUCGUUUUUGUGAUUUUGGGGGUUUUGUUUCUAAUCGGGGGAGGGUGACUGAUCAUCUGAAAAAAUUGAGGUAUAUGGUUUUUCUCUUCGAAUUCCAUAAACAUGCAUGUAUUUACAUCUCCCUUAGAGCUUUUAUGUCUCUUCCUUUGAUCUGAUACAUGCCACGGUGUGGUUUGAAUCCUAUACAAUCAUAGGGGUUCACAUACCUUGUGUAGGUACCAUUCUUUGUUUACUACGUAUAGCAUUAGGAAGAACCAAUGUCGUGAAAUCGAUUACUUUAAGCGCAUUUGGUCCAAGUUUGAAGGUUAAGAAGUUGCACAGCAAUUGAAAUCGUUUAGGUGUUCAUUAAAUCCAAAUCCCGGCUGAUAUGUCUUAGGAAUCCUUUUAAAGUCUGCUGAUCAAGAAGUGUAAAAACUGAACAGCUUUUCUGGAUGUAUUUUAUUGGACUUCGGUAGACAAAUGUAUCUUUGUUAAUCAAUCUUAUCUCCGUGUGGUGAUUCUCUUCGUGUUAUUUAAGGCUGCAAUUUUUUACUAUCUUUCUGAUAUUAAAUUUUUUUUUUGUCAUGAUUCCAGGUUUUUGAAAAAAUUCGCCUUCACUGACUAACUAAAAAUAUUUAAACGCUGUUGCUGAUCGGUAUAAAGACAAAAUAAAAAAGGUAGCAUCUCUUGAUAGUAGGUUUUGUAUCCCAUGUCAUCCAGGUUAAUUAUUCCAGCGACCAAAUUAAAGUAAAAUCCAAUAUUAAUUUAGUCUAUCUACCAAAAAACUUUCUGAGGGUUGAUUUAUUCGUUGUGCUUUUUGUGUUUUUGUUUUUUUUCCUGUUUGGCUGCCCAUUGGUGAAUGUUGGAUUAAAAUGUGGUUACAAUCUUUUGUAACAGAUUAGAAAACAAACUCAAGUUUGGCAAUUGCUCAGUUUUAUUUACUGAGAUUUGAGUGGUUAAUUUGGAUCAAACUCUAAUGAUUUUCCUUUGGAACAGUUGUGGUCCUCUGUUAGGAUUUUCCUGGCAAAGAGUCUAGAGCAAGGGAAGGGAAAAAUGAGAGAAACACGGGUUGGAGCAUUUUUUUUAAUACGGGUUGGGGCUUUUUUUUUAAUUGAUUUGGGGUUCUGUUUGGGUUUGGGGUUGUGAUAUUUCUGUGUUUAAUUUGGUAUUUCAUAGUUUGGAGUUGAGCGGUUAAUUUUUUGGACCUUAUGAUCUCAUUUGUGAUUAUCAAGUGCAUAAUGGUUAAUUGUAAUUUUCAAUUCUUUAUGCUGUUAGUGGUUAAAAUUAGGGGAAUGGCUCCAAUUUUGUUAAUCAAUUAAUUUAAUUUUUUGUGUAUCUCAAGCUUUUAAUUGAUUUCCUGCAUCAUUGCUUAGUACUGAGAUUUGAGUGGUUAGCUUUUUUUACCUUAUGACCUCAUUUGUGAUUAUCAAGUACAUAAUGGUUAAUUGUAAUUUUCAAUUCUUUACAUUCUUAAUGGUUAAAAUUAGGGGAAUAGCUCCAAUUUUGUUGGUCGAUAAAUUUAAUUUUUUGUAUAUCUCAAGCUUCUAAUUGAUUUCCUGCAUCAUUGCUUAGUUUUAUUCACUGAGAUAUGAGUGGUUAAUUUCGAUCAAACUCUAAUGAUUUUCCUUUGGAACAGUUGUGGUCCUCUGUUAGGAUUUUACUGGCAAACAGUAUAUUUUGCAUUUUGGUUGCUCAGUUUCUCAAUCACAGAUUUGCAAAUAGCUAUCGUGGUGCUAUUAUUUUUGGGUAUGUUUUCUGUCAAUAUUUUCCCUGUUUGAUUAUGCAUUUAUAAAUGUUGGAUUAAAAUGUAUUUAUUUUUGGGAAGAAAUCAGAUGGCUGGUUAGAGUUUUAGAAACCUUUAUGUUUUUUGCCUUUUAUGGUAAUGAGAAAAAGGAGGAGAACAUUGAUCUUAAUUGUAAUUUUCAGUUCUUUACACUGUUAAUACUGAAAUCUCUGUUUUGUAGACAAAUGGCUGACAUGUGAACAUUUGUAAAUGCAGUAAAUAGGAGGCCCAAUAAAAGUGUUUUUUUUCCUUCUCUCUUAUAUUCAUCUGUUUUCAAUAUCGGAUUGGAUUUGCAUUAAGGGUUUUGUUGAUUUGAUAUUAUUGAUAAAAUACUAGAAAACCCACAUGAAGUUAAGCACUUUUAGGGGUUUGUUCUGCUUUUGGUUCACUUAAUAUUCAUACCUGUUUAUGUUUUUACUUUUUAACUAUAUGUUUUUAAGUUUUUUUUUGUUCUGUGGUCUAUUGCUUGGUAGGACUAAACUUAUUAUUUUUCUAUUUUGUUCAAUUCUCAGCUUCAAAUUUAGACAGCAGUAGCUGCUACAGUUGAAAUCCAAUUGCAUAUCUUAUUUCUACGCCUUUGGUUUUAUCGGUGGUUAGGUAAGGCUCAAAUCUUUCAAAUUUGUCUUCGUUUUGGAUUGUAUGUUUACAUAAGGAUUUAACAUUUUAUAGUGUGGUUUCAAUCGUAAAAGAUUGUCAACUAAGAUUUUCUGAAUCAUUAUUGGUAUUGGUUUUUGUAUGAUAGUUUUGAAAUGUGACUUUUAUGUGUUUGUUUUGGUUCAUUGUAGAUUACAUAGUCAACUAUUUAAUAAUUGACUUUUUUUCCUAGGGUUCUCUGCCCAUUAUCUGUUGUUUGGAGUUUGAACUUUUUACAAGCCAUGUUAAGAAGGUCCAGAGAUAGCAAACUGAAUAGAAUGAUACAAGAAGACCACAUUUUUGUUCUUCCAGUGGUAUACAAGUUUGUGAUAAACCAAGCUUUGAACCUCAUAACAAAAGACGAAAAGAAGACCAUAUUGUUGGUUCUUCCAGUGGCAUACAAGUUUGUGAUAAUCCGAAUCAAAUUAGUAAAGGUCAAGCCAAUUUUCAGAAAAAUAAAAAAGGUAAACUAUCUUUUUAACUUGCACUUUCAUUGGGUUGGUUAAGUAUUUAUGACUAUACUACUAAUAGAUUGACUUUUUUUCCCUCUCUUUUUCACAUUUUUUUUAUAGGAAAUGUUCAGAAAUAUGUGGAUUUGGGAGACAAGAAUUAUAAAUGCAUCUACUGUGGUGCAUUUUUUUGGAUAAAAGAGUCUCUAAAACAGAAGUCAAAGAAUAAUGAGCCCCUUUAUUCUCUUUGUUGCCAACAAGGAAAAGUCAAGCUCCCACGUCCAUUGCCUACUCCUCACUUUUUAGAAAAUUUGCUUGACCCAACUAAAGGCCAAAAAAGUUUAUUGUUUAGAGAGAACAUCAGAGCUUAUAAUUCUAUGUUUGCAUUCACUUCAUUGGGAGCUAAAGUUGAUCACACAGUUAAUAAUCAAUCAGGUCCUUACAUUUUCAAAAUUAGUGGUCAAGUACAUCAUUUAAUGGGUUCUUUGUUACCCCCUGAUGGUGAAUGUCCAAAGUUUGCUCAACUGUAUGUUUAUGACACUGCUAAUGAAAUUGGAAAUCAUCUUAAUUCUGUUAAUUGUAAGGAAAGAAAUAUGAAGCUUGAUGAGAAUAUUGUUGAAGGUCUAAUCAACAUGUUCAAUGAAUUGAAUGAAUUGGUUCAAAUGUUUCGAACAAUUAGAGAUAAAUUUGAAAACAAUUCUCUCCCUUCUUUGAAAAUAUCUAUAUUAGGUAGGCAGUUAAAUGAUGAUAAACAAUAUGGACAACCUACAUGUGAUGAAAUUGCUGGUUUAAUUGUGGGUGAUAUUGGUCAAUUUGACUCAAACAGGGAUAUUGUCAUAGAGUUCAAAGAUGGUGAACUAAAACGUGUGACAAAAUUAAAUCCAAAAUUUAUGUCUUUACAAUAUCCAAUUCUUUUUCCAUAUGGUGAAGAUGGAUACAGACCUGAUUUAAAAUUGAACACUCCCUCAAACAAUCGCCCAUGUAAAAGAGGAAGAGUGACUACAAGAGCAUUUAUAGCCUAUCAAAUUCAAGAAAGGGAGUCUCAAUUAGAUACAUUGCUAAAAGGAGGAAGGCUCUUUCAACAAUUUUUGGUAGAUGCUUUUGCAACACUUGAAGAAGAUCGAUUGGAUUACAUUAGAAAAAACCAAAAAUACUUACGAAGUGAGGUGUAUAAAGGCAUUUAUGAUGCUGUAUCAAAAGGUGAUCAUGAUACUGAUAACAUAGGCAAGAAAGUAAUAUUACCUAGCUCAUACACAGGAAGCCCUAGAUAUAUGCUUAACAACUAUCAAGAUGCGAUGGCUAUUUGUACACAAUUUGGUAAUCCUGAUUUGUUCAUAACCUUCACUUGCAAUAUCAAAUGGCCUGAAAUUGUAAGAGAAUUUGAUACAAAACUUGGAUACAAGUCAGAGGAUAGACCACAUAUCAUUUCUAGGGUUUUUAAAAUGAAACUUGAUGAUAUGAUUAGCUACAUAAAAUCAGGAGAACCUUUUGGAGAAGUUGAAGCAGGUGAGUUUCAAAAAAUGAAAUUUUUUUUCUUGGUUUAUUUGAUUUUGUCUUUACAAUGAAACUUACUGUAGUUUAUAUAUUUUCUUGCAAACAGAUGUUUGUACAAUCGAGUUUCAGAAAAGAGGCUUGCCUCACGCUCACAUCUUAAUUUGGUUAAAGAAGCCUUACAAAUGCUUCUCUGCUGAUGACAUAGAUUUCAUCAUUUCAGCUGAAAUACCAAAUAAAAAUUCAGAUCCUCUCCUUUACGAAAUUGUCAAUCAAUUCAUGAUUCAUGGUCCUUGCGGACAACUUAAUCAAAAUUCUCCGUGCAUGCGAGAAAGAAAAUGUUCUAAGUUUUUUCCAAAGCAAUACAAAAGUGAGACAAUUUUUGAAACAAAUGUUUUUCCUGUGUAUAGGUGUCGUGAUGAUCCAUCAAAAUUUGUGGUUAAAAAUGGGAUGCAAAUUGAUAACAGUUUUGUUGUACCUUACAAUUCAGAUUUAUUAUUGAGAUACAAUGCUCAUAUAAAUGUUGAGUCAUGUUGUCAAUCAAUGCUUAUAAAAUAUCUUUUCAAAUACAUAAACAAAGGUUCAGAUCGAGCAAGAAUUGUUUUCGAAGAGAAUUCAAACAAUGAAAUACUUGCUUAUUUAAAUUGUAGAUAUAUAUCUCCAUACGAAGCUGUUUGGAGAUUGUUUGAGUAUCCAAUUCAUAUGAGAGAACCUCCUGUUGAACGAUUGCCGGUGCAUCUUCCUUUGGAACAAACUAUUGUUUUCAAUAGUAAUCAGUCACUUGAAUCAAUUGUUAAUCAAAAAGCUUCUGAACACACAAUGUGACAGGUUGGUUUGAAACAAAUAAAUUUUUUACUGAAGCGCGAACACUAACUUAUGCAGAAUUGCCGUCAAAAUUUGUAUGGGAAUCUCAACAAAAGAUUUGGAAGCCCAGGAAAAAAAAAGGAGGAUCUAUAGGUAGAAUUGCCUACGUGCAUCCUGCAUCAGGUGAGUUAUACUAUUUAAGAAUGCUUCUCAAUAUUCAAAAAGGUGUUCUCAAUUUUGAUGAUAUUAGAACUGUGAACGGCAUUAUUCAACCAUCAUAUCAAGCUGCAUGUAAGUGUUUGGGUUUACUAGGAGAUGACAAAGAGUGGAAUGAAGCUUUAGGAAAUGCAGCUAAUAUUGCAACAUCUCGCGAGUUGAGGCAAUUAUUUGUUACGAUGAUUUUAUUUUGUGAAAUAGCAAAUCCUCAACAGCUUUUUAAUAGUCAUUGGCAAAAUAUGUGUGAUGACAUUUUGUAUGAGCUUUGAAAAUCUUUUGCAAUGCCAACUCUGAGUUUGUCAGAAUUAGAAUUAAAAAAUUCCCUUCUGUUUGAAUUAGAGCAACUAUUCAAUGCAUCAUCUAGCUCUUUAAAAGAUCAUAAUUUGCCUAUGCCUGAUGAGAGAAAAAUGUCAGAAAUUAGAAACAAAUUAUUGAGGGAAGAAUUAAAUUACAAUUGUGAUGAUUUAAGUCGAGAACAUUCUAUUUUGGUAGCACAGCUUAAUGAAACCCAAAAUUUUGUCUAUGAUUGUGUUAUUAGUACUGUGAAUGAAAAAAAGUCAGGUCUAUUUUUUGUUUACGGCCAUGGAGGAACUGGAAAAACAUUUUUAUGGCAUACAAUAAUAAGUAAAAUCAGGUCUGAGGGUAAAAUUGUUUUAGCAGUUGCUUCAUCUGGAAUAGCUUCAUUACUUUUACCAGGUGGUAGAACUGCUCACUCUAGAUUCAAAAUUCCUCUCAUAGUUACAAAUUGCUCAAUAUGUCAAAUUAAGAAAGGGACUCAUCUUGCUAAAUUAAUUGAAAAAGCAGAUCUUAUUAUUUGGGAUGAAGCUCCUAUGAAUCAUAAACAUUGUUUUGAAGCAUUAGACAAAUCAUUUUAUGAUAUUUUAUCACAUUCAAAUGAUUCAAAUAAAAGUGCUCCAUUUGGUGGCAAACCCUUUUUAUUAGGUGGUGACUUUAGGCAAAUUUUACCAGUUAUUCCUGGUGGAACAAAAGAAUAGAUAAUAGAUGCAUCUUUAAGUAACUCUUAUUUAUGGAAUUUUUUCAAAGUAUUUCAGUUGAAGGAAAAUAUGAGGCUUUCACAAAAGGGUUUAAAUAAUGACCAAAAGAAAAAACUUGCAGAUUUUGCAACUUGGAUUUUACAAAUAGGUGAUGGCGAAAUUGGGAAUACACUUGAUUCAAAUGACAAAGAUACAUGUUGGAUUGAAAUUCCAGAUGAUUUACUCAUUCAUUCAUACUCUGAUCCUAUUCAUUCCAUUUUUUCAGCAACGUAUCCAGAUUUUGAAAAUAAUUUUGCCAGUUUUGAAUAUUUACGAGAGCGAGCUAUUGUUACGCCAAAAAAUAAUACUGUAGCAGAAAUAAAUGAUUAUGCAAUAGAUUUGCUACCUGGUCAAAAACGCAUUUAUUUAAGCUCUGAUUCUUUAUACUCAUCUUCUGGAAAUUUUGAGAAUCUUAGUAUAAUGUAUCCUACAAAAUUUCUCAACACACUUGAUUUCAAUGGCUUGCCUUCCCACAAGUUAAUUUUAAAAAUUGGAAUGCCUAUUAUGUUGCUUCGAAACUUAAAUCAAUCUUUAGGUUUGUGUAAUGGAACAAGAUUGGUUGUGACUCAAUUAUUUGAUAGAAUUAUUGAAGCUAGAAUACUUGCUGGCAGCAACAUUAAUUACAAAGUUUUCAUUCCUAGAAUAACCUUGACAACAACCGAAAACAAAUGGCCUUUUGUAUUUAAAAGACGUCAAUUUCCAAUAAGGUCAUGUUAUGCAAUGACAAUUAACAAAAGUCAGGGACAAUCAUUGAAACAAGUGGGACUCUAUUUGCCACAACCUAUCUUCACUCAUGGUCAAUUAUAUGUUGCAUUAUCUAGAGUGACAUCAAGAGAGAGCCUCAAAGUUUUAAUUGCUAAUAACAAUGAAAUGCCAAAUACAUUUACAAAAAAUAUAGUUUACAAAGAUGUUCUGCAAAACUUAACAAAAGGUUAGACCUUGCAUGCAUCUACAAUUAAAAACUCACAUAUUAUACAUUUUGAUAUAUUUACACUUUUUUCCUAAUAGUAUGUAUAUUUUGCUUGCAGAUUUAGAAGACAAUGAGCAUCUUCCCAAUUCAUGACUUAAAGCCUCUUUUGAACCAAUUCAAAGGCUUACAAUGGAUGACUAAACUGGUGAGAAAACCAUUUUAUUACAAUGUAUUAUAAUUGAACUAGCUUACUAAUUAAUAAAAUUUUUGACCAUGAUUAUAUUUCAAUUGACAUUUAUAGGAACCAAGUUUGCAAUCACUCAUGGACUUCCAGCUCUCAAUGCAAUUGAACAAGGAAAUCUAAAACUCAAAUUUGGAGGUAAUUAAAAUAAUUUUACCAGUUUUCACCAUUAAGAUUUUAAUACCAUUUUUUUGCAAUUUAAUAAACACAAUAUGCAAUUUGUAAAACUUAUAAAAAUAUCAUUGUCUUGAUCCUAGAAACCAAUGCUUUUCAUUCCCCUUAAAUUAUAUGUUACAUGAACAAAUAAAUCAAGUCACGAAGAAUCAAUCAUAUUGCCCACUCAUUUUUCAAAUGCAAUGUACAACUUUUUAAAGGAAAUAUGGACUCCAGGAAGAAUAUGGACUCCAUCUGCAGUCUAGGACGUUCUACAAAAAAGGGAAACAGACAGUAGGGCUUUAUUGGAAAAAAAGGAAAAUUAAAAGAUUAUAUAUAAACUUAUUGAACUCGGAACUUCUAUCCCUAAUAGCCUUCCCUUCCUAUUAGGAUGUGUUUUACGGAGAAUGCAACCAAGAAUAAGUAGUUAAGCACGCUCUCGCUUGAUAACCAUUUCGUACCACCAUAUCUUAAGCACAAAAGCGAAAACAAAUGUUGAAUAUAUUUUUUUGGCGUGUAGAGCAUAAAAUAUUUUUUAUUCGGAAGCUUUCAUCUCUCUGAUUAAAUUCAGUUGAUUACUUAAUUCAAUAAAACAGACAACCAAAGAACAACGUGAAGGUGAAAUCAAAUGCAAAAUCAUAGAAUACAAAAUUAAGAUAACCUUUAUACAUUUCGUUUGAUUUGUUUGAAUAGGAUGAUUUAUAACUGUUUCAGUAUUAUGUUUCUUCAUAUGCAGAUUACCAUAUGUAUUAUAGGGCACAGCUGAUAUAAGUUCUCUUUUUAUACCUCUAUCUCUAUGCAUUGAUCUGUUUUCUGUCAAUUUUAUUCUUCUAUAUGCAUUAUGUUUAUCCUGAACCAAAGGUUUCUAAUCUUUUAUUUAUGAGUGUAAACUUUAAGACAAUUCAAUUUUUAUGAAAAAGAUAAAUAUAUGACUAUAAGAAUCUACAUUGAUUAUAUUAACGUAGGAAUACAACUAUAACAAUUCAUUAAGUGCGAUGACAUAAUCUGAUAGUAUAUAUUCUUUUAAAGAUUUUUUGCGAUUAUUUUACAUAAUAUAUGUUGAGUAAUUUUUUGGAGAGUAAACCUUUACAUUUUAAUAUGCAGCAAAUAAUGCACUAUAGGAUUCCUCUUUCAAUGGUGAUUUGUCUCUUGGAAAUAUUCAUUGCAAGGACAAAUGAGAAGUAUUCAGAAGCUGUUGUACCUUACAUUAAGGCUCCUUUGUUGUGUUAUAUUUGGAUUUUACUAUAUAAUACUGUUUAUGUAUGGUUUUUGAAAUGGUGCUCAGAAUUAUCACUAUGGUUUUUUUGUAUAUGCAAAGUGAACAAUUCAUUCUUUGCCAAAGACAAAACAUGAGACAAGGUUUUUGACUCCAUAUCGGAAGACGAGGUUAGUUUGUUUAUGGUUACUUUUUUUAUUUAGUUGAAUGGAAAAUUUGUCAUAUUGCGAGUCUAAUUUAAUCAUUUCGUUACACAGAUUGAAAAUUUUUAUUCUAUUAAUGUUGAUGACGGAAAUCAACCCGAGUUCAAAUUAAAACAAUUUGAUAAUUUUCGUUAUGGUAAAAACUUAUAACCUUUUUUUUUUUAUCUUUUCUCUUUUUGAAAUUAAGAAAUUAGGGUACUUUUCUAUAUACCUUUCUAUGUCUCUUAUGUUAUUUUUAAAAUUUUGAUAGCUGAGCAAAAGCACUGGCACACGCAACAAGGCUCCAAAGAAUCCGAACAUACCUAAGAAACCUGUAAGUACCUUCUUUGUUUUAAGAGAACUUUAACGAAAAACACCCGGUACUGUUCACUUUAACGAAAAAUCAUAUUUUUAAUUUUUUACACUAAAAAGUCAAUCCUGUUACUAUUCACUUUACCCUUUAUUUUGUCCUUAUCAUUAAAACUCAAAGUUUUCAAACCCUUUUCAUUAGUUUUCAUUUGUUUUAAUCGCUAUACAAGCUUAGUCGCCAUGUCUGGCUUCCCAAGUUACAUACGAAAUACUUGGACUAAAAAAGAUGAACACAAGCUUACCACUAAAGAAAUACAAAUAAGGAUUUCUCCAAAUUUAAUGGUCCAAAUUUCUUAUUAGAUUAAGCACCAUGACCCCUUGCCCCAAGUUCUAAACAGGAAUGUAAAUAGCAUUAAUCUUCUGUCAUACAAUCUUUUAUACCUUUGAAACAAAAAAUUUCACACUUUCUACCAAGAUCAUUAUAUAUCUAUGAAUACAUCUAAUUUAUAAAUUCAUACUAUCACUGGCUUCACUCUGUUAAUUGAAUUUCAUUCAUAAGUUCAAUGCUUUCACUUCUUUUUUUC